rnacentral:lncRNA from 1 species
AUUUUUAUAUUAAGUGAUUAACAAAUAGAAUGAAGAAAAACCUCACAUGAUGAGGAAAAGAGAAUGGAUUUUGUAUAAUAACCAUGAAGUUAGUACCAACCCAAUCCUCAUGCUUAUAAACAUUGUUGUUAAAUGUUGCCACGUGAACAUUUGGGAAUGAUAUUGCUUAUUUUUUUAAAGUUGGCAUGCCCUUAAAAAUGACCAUGAUCAAACUUGCUCCUGUUAAACAAACUCUCAAUCUCUACUACUUUUAUAUUUCCUAUGCCUUUUUCUGCUGUUGAAUUGUGCUGGUCUUUAUAUGCAAUAAUCUUUUAUUUGACAUCGGUCUAUACUUCGAGUCCCAAUAGCAGUGCUUGAUGAUUUUCUAUAGUUUCACAUCAUUAAUUAAAUGAUCUGUAUUAUGGUUGGACAUGAUUCUAUGCUUAAUUUUUGCACAAAAUUUGUAUGGAUUAUGUCACCUCUGCAGGGUGAUAUAAAAUGUGUCUUUAUAUUUAAGCUCCAUGUUUUUAAGUAAUAAUCUCUAAAUAAGGAAAUUGAGUUGGUGGAUAAGGCCAAUAAAAAGGAGGUAUGAUUCAUUGACUAUAGCCACUUGUCAGAAAAAGUCUCUGGAUAAAAAGUCUCAUUGAAUGUUUCGGUUUUUGUGUAGAAAGCUAUACUUCUUGAUUUCUUAAUGUUUCAUUGAACUCUUUUUUUGAUUUUUUUAAAAAAUUGAUCCUUUAAUUUUAGAAAUCUGCUCAUUCUUUAUCCUUAUUUUUUUCUUUUUCAGUCUAUUAGCAUCCUCCUUGAACAAGAUUAUAUGAAGAGGGCUUAGUAACAAUACUAAAUAAUUUCUCCUGUAACUGUAUUUACACCUCUGGUUGUUUACCUAUUCACUCUCCUAAGCUUCCAUGUGAGACAUCCCUCUUGCACUACUUGAAUUUCUAGAUGCUGUGUGCAUGCUCCUAUAAUUGUGCACUACUCUUUUUGAUUUUCUCCCAUAAUGUCUAAUAUUUUUGGAUUCCUGUUCUAGUUACAUAUAUUUUCGCUGUAUCUUACUGAUACUACUAAUUAUCAUAUGCUGCAUAUGUAGUAAUUUCUAGGUUUUUAGUGGCUUUAUAUUUUUUUUAAGAAUUAAUAACAUAUCUAAUUUGGAAGUUUCUUACUACUUCUCUGAUUUGAGGAUGCGUCUUAGUGCAACAGUAAGAUUGCUUUAUUGUAAUCUUAGUGUCACGGGUUUGAAAUAGAAAAACAACACCUCCAUAUGUGCGAGUAAGGCUAUGUACAUUUGACCCUCCCUAGACACUCCAGUGACUGGAGCCUCGUGCACUAAGACACCUUUUUUAAAUCUCUUACCACCUCUCUUUGCAAUAUCAUAUCCAUUUUCACCCUCAAAUUUACUACCUGAACUUUUGGUCACUCGUUAAUUGAAUUGUUCUUCAGGGUUUGCUUACAUAACAUGUUUGCUUGGCAAGCGUGGAUUGUUGAACCGGCCUGAACCAGGUGGUUCGGCUUGUAUGAAAUCAUAUCGAGACCGGCCCGAGACAGUUCAGCCUCUUGGGUUAGUUCACCCCUAGUUUAUAAAAGCCCUCCCCAGAGUCUCUGUUUAGACAGCCCUCCCAAGGGUUUCACUUGUUUGCUUGUUGGAGGGUUUCACGCUUGUCUUGCCCUCGCUGACUGCUGCAAUCGCCCCUAGGUAAGUCCCUCUGACUCCCCCUCUCCCUCCCCCUCCCUCUCCAAGGAUUCAAGAUUAAGGCCUCUCUCCCCCUGUCCCUCCAUCUCUCUAUCUCUUUCUCUCCCGCAUCCUCGGUGGCCCUCCUCCUCGGAUUCUGGCACCUCUCUCUCUCUCUCUUCNNNNNNNNNNNNNNNNNNNNCCUCUCUCUCUCUCUCUUCCUCUCCUCCCUCCUCUCUCUCUCUCUUCCUCUCCCUCCCUUCCCACUUUCUCUCUUCUUCUCCCUCUCCUUAUUUUCGGUACGCCCCAGAAUGCUCUGUACCGCAACAAAUCAAUCACCGGCUGGUACAAACUCCAAUAUUGGAUCGGCGAACCUUGUUGUCAAGUAUUCUACAGAUAAGAAUUUUGUCUAGAACUAAUCAGUUCCUUGUUACUAUGAUUUCUCUUGUACCAAUUUAUUUUGCCCCACUUUGACCCCUUCAAAAAAGGAAUCAUUUUUAAUCCUUUACCAUCUGAGAUGUCUGCAAGCUCUCUUUGCACUUCUUGGGAAUACCAGGAACUCAGGGCAGAGAAUAGUAUAGCAAAUAGGAAGGGAAACAUUUAUGUUAACCUUUUAGAUCAUGCCUGUUGAAUGUGUACUUCGUUAUUAAAGUGCCCAACUAUUAUUGUGUCCCUUUUAUUUCUCUCCACCAAUGCUUUAGUCGGUAAUUCAGUAAUAUAUACCUCUCACUUUUGUAUGUUAACAAACUAGCAUUUUGUACUUCAAUUUGUUUUCCAUCAUGGAUUCUUAGUCUUCCAAAUUCCCUUUUAUCUUACUGACAUGUGUCAGUGCUAGGUUAAGCUAAUGAUAUGUGGCUGCAGUGAUCUCUUCUUUGUUCAAUUCACAUUUGCAUUUCCUGGCAUUUGUAUUUGGCAGAAAAUGGAUGGUUUAAAUGCACAAACCCUGUUUUGGCCCUUUGGUAUGCAUGCUAGGUGACAAGUUCUUUAUCGAUGUUUCUUAGUGUUCUUUCUCAAUGUUUACAUAUAUGCAAGGAGCAGCUUUUGUUACUCGUUGACUUUAAAUGACAUCCUUCAUUGGUUGCACUGCAUUUUGCUGAAAUCAUCUAGGCCCCAGGUUGAAUAUGAGUUUCUAUUUUCUAGGUCGAAUUGUGUACUAAAAUUUGUUUAUUUCAGGUGUAGUUGUUUAUGAAUAUGAGUUGAAGCUUGGAUGGGGUAAAUCUGUGGCUCUUCCAUCCCAGGCAUUGCCUGCUCCCCCACCUGGUCACAUGGCCAUCAGAAAUAAGGAGGUCUGUUGACUUUCUUCUGUGCUCGUUAUAUGUACCUUUUCUUUUUUUAAUUGAAAAAGAGAGAGUUUCUAUUAGUUAAUUGUUUUUGUUAGAUUACAUGUAUUUUUUAGCUUUUGGAAAACAGAUUUAUUCUUUGAAGUAUUUUGUUCUUCGUUUUUAUUUUUCACUUCACUCAUGUGGGGUUUACCUAUCAUUUAAUGACACUAUUUUUCAUUAUGGUAAAUGGCAGGGUGGUACUGUGAUUAUAUCUGGCCCUGAUGGUGCAGCAGUUACUUCUGUUACAAAUCAAAACUCCGAGUUGGUAUGUUACUUGAUUUAUUGAGAAAAACAUCAUUCAGCCUUUACUUUUCAAUGUUGAAAUGUAAUUAUUGCAAGACUAACAGUUACUCUUCUUGAUUAAUAGCCAAUUUUAUGAAAUGAAUCUUAUUUUUUUACAAAAAUAUGGAAACAAUGUACAGCAAUCUUGUUUGGUUAUUUUUUUAUAAUAUUCUUUAGGUAAUAAUUUAUAGUCUGUUGCAACUAAGUUACAUAAACCUUUUAAUCCAGUUUUUUUUUUCAGUUCAGUUGACAUUUAAAUUUUAGGUCAUCUACUUAAAUUUUUGAAAUUGUAUGAUGUGAAUUGGCCAUGUAGUCUGUGGGCACAGGCUAUGCUAUUUCAGAUUAACACGGAAUACAGAUUAGUCCCAACAUAUGGGUUUGCAGAAGUCAAGAUAGUAGGGCUUCAGCAGCACAAGAUGACAAAAUAAGAAAGAGGUAGAAUGGAAUCCAUUUGAACUAAGUGAAUGUAAAAUUUGCUAGAAAUUUCAGCUGGAUAUAUUAUGAAAAUUGUGGCUGUAAUUACAUCUGGAUAUUAAAACACUUAAAUCUAACCAAAACACAACCCUUAAUGAGAAUAAGGUGUCGAUGAACUGAUGAUAGAAUUGAUGGAUGGAAAUUAAUAUGUCCAGUCUAUGUUAGUGAAGUGCUUUAUUUGACCAAGUCACUUGAGAGCAUAAAAUCUUGAAGUUUGAACGUCUAACUCGACAAUGCGCUCAUAUGUCUUGGUCUGGCCCCUAUAUCCUGGGUUCAGCACAAAGUUUUCCCUAAAAUAGAAAUUAAACCUCCUGUUAUUACUAAAGGUCUGAUUUUCGGCUUUCACUAAUUUAUUUCUGUGAUAUUUAUCUUAUGACCUUGUAACUCUUGUAUCCAUGGUUUGCCGUACCGGUAGGCCGGUACGUACCGGUCCGGCAUGGAAUCCGGUACCGGUAGUUUAUUGUUGAAGAACUAGUACAGGACUGGUUCGGAUCGGUAUGGGACCGGUCCGGGCUGCCACUGGUACGCCGACCGGCACUGGUACGGCGGACCUUGUAUCCCCUGGAUUGUCAAAACUUGAUUGGAGCGUCCGCAAGAUCAUGGAGAAUUUUUUUUGGGCCUAUAGUUAAUGGCUAUUUUGCUAAAAUUUGCAGAAAAUUUUUCUAGCAUGUAGAUAUGCUCAUCUUUUUGUUUUGGAGAUACUUGCAAUGAUUUUUAAUGUAUUGGAAGUGAAUAGUUAACUUGUCAAUUUAUAUGUCCAACUGCUGGGUAAAGGUUGUCUAUUAUAAUAUUUAUUCAUUGCUCCAUAUAAUCAGAGAUAUAUAGUAAUACAACUGCUUGCUUAAUUGAGAACUAAGGUCUAACACCUACUUGAUGGUCAUGAUCAGCAAAAAAUGGAGGUGAAUAAUCACGAUUGGUUGCUCAGCUGGCUGGCUGCUUGCAUGCUGUUGCUUAGUUCCUAAACCGUGGCGGACAAUCCUUAGCAAAAGGAUGCUACUGCCUCUUUGAGGACUUCUUGUCAAUAGCAUAUACUUCAAAUUUUCACAUUCUAUGCCUUAUAGCUGUUUAGUCCUUUUAUUCUUGUGAGAUGGAAAUGCAAGAUGAGUAGCAGCAAUUUUUUUCCUUGUGCUUCUUGGAGGCCAUGAAAAUAUAACACAUCAAUGUUCGUUUCUGAAAUCAGGGCAGAUAUAUUUUCCAGAUAAAAAAGGGAUAUGGCGGUCAGCUUAGUUGAUUAAGAGCAUCUAUUAUUAUCACUCUAUGAUAAUAAAUUGGGUUAGUUUUAGUUGACUUUCUUUUCCUGUAUACUAGAAUAAAGGUGAUGCUCAUAACUGCACCAAUUAUAAUCAAAGGAAAGCAUAUAAGGUGCUCAAUGAGGUAGUGGAACAUAUAUGAGCUGCUCAGUGAGGUAGUGGAACAUAAAAUGUUACAAUCUCCAGGAACCAAUUUGCUUUAAUACCCAGGUAGGUAACAAUUUGAUUUCUCUCCCUUGGGAAGUUGUUGACCAGUAGAGAAGACAAUGCAUUACACAUGUUCUUAUCAACUGGAAGAAAACUUUUGAUUGAGCACCACGGCAUGUGAUUUUAAGAUGUAUAAGUUAGCUUUUCUUGAGAUUAAUUUUGACUAGUUGCCUUAUACCAAAGGUUGGUCUGGCAUGUGCCAUAAUGCAUUAAUUGCUGAUAUUUAUGAGAGUAUUGACUGGUAUUAUGAUUAUUAAGAAAAGUUUGGCUAGAUUAGGGUCUAAAAUCAGCAAAAGUGGAGCAAGUGCUUAGGACGCAAGUUUAGUUUGAAAAGAAUUAACAGAAGGCCAAAUUGAAAAUGAUGAGAUACUCCGAUGGCUCAUAUUUGUUACUGUCAUAGUGACAAGUUGAGAGAUUAGUGAAAAAGUUUCUUCCCUACUUUGCCAGGCUGUUUUUAGAUGUUAUAAUGCCUGUUUCUUGUAAAGCUUGAUUUGUCGUUUACUUUCAAACAGGAAAAUGAAGGUAUCAUUUUUAUGUGAUCAAUACAUGUCUUUGAGACAUUCCUUCCUAUUAUUUAAUACAAUUUGUGAGGCUGAUAAUGCUAAGGGCAUAUGCAAAAAUCAUGGACCAAAUCUUUAGAAAGAUCUUCCAAGUGCUUGACAAAAAUUGUGGCCUCUAAUAGAAAAAGAAUGCUGAUGACAUAAAAUAGUUGGCUUAUUAUUUGAUGGCCUAUAUGUUUUUAGUGGUUAGUGCCACUGAGAACUGAAGUCCAGUGACCAUAUAUUUUGAUUUGUGGUAACCUGUAAUUGCUAUAGUGUAGAAAGAAAACGAAGAUAUGCUUUUUGUCCUAUUAACUCUCUUAGUGUGAUUUCAUUCUUUUAUUAAUAAUGCUGAAAUAGUCAUCAUUCAAUAGAAAUUUCGGUGCUGUCAUCAUGCUUAACUAUUUAUUGUUAAUGCUUUAUAGAUUGUAUCUACUAAAGGUGCAUAACAUUACUCUUGAUCAUUGGGACAUUAGUUCCAUAUUAUGCUAAAAUGUGGAAGUCCUUUAGAAAGAGCCAAGUUUUAGGUAAUUGAGAGAAAAAAGGUGACUGUUUGCCUUUUUCUCCAAUUAUAUAUACGGCGGAUAUCAGGGGAUUGUAAAGAAAAAAGAAAAAAAUAUUGUUUGACCAUGUAAAUGUGCCUGAUCGGUUUGUUGUCCAAUCCAUUUCCCGUUACUUGUUAAUUGGAAUAUGAUGUGACAGCUUCUUCAUGAGUAUGUGAAACUACAAUGCUUUUGCAGAUAAUGGUAGCUUUAUUCAUCUAGUAACAUGUAAAUAUGCAUCAGCCACUUCCCUCUGAAUGAUUUUUUGUUUUGCUUGCUUACAUUUCAAAUCAUCUCCAACUGAUUGUUCUGUCCCUUUAUUCAAUGUUACUUAUUGUUCUCUGUCUUGUAGUGUAGAUUGCUUUUAAAGUGAUUUGCUAUUUUAAAUUUAUGGGCUGGAACUCAGCUCACCUCGUGAAGGCUAAUCAAAAUUGUGUCAGUGUUGCUAGUUUUAUAUGUUGUUGAAAACUUUCUAUACUGUUCACAUAAUAUCUGCUUGUUCUCACAUAAAUUAAACAUAUUUAAGUAUUUCCAUGGUUUUACUUGUUUUUCUAGGUGCUUACUCCAAAUGUUCCAGAUAUAGUGGUCGUACCUCCAGAUGAUGAUCACUUACGACAUGUGAUGAACACAAUGGCAUUGUAUGUUCUUGAUGGUGGAUGUGCUUUCGAGCAAGCUGUAAUGGAAAGGGGCCGCGGAAAUCCACUUUUUAACUUCUUAUUUGAUCUUAGAUCAAAAGAGCAUACAUAUUAUAUCUGGAGGCUUUACUCCUUUGCCCAGGUUAUAUGCUUUUUGUUCUUCUUACCAAUACAUUUCUUGUUCACUGUUUUGCCUUUAGCUAGAAAUAUUCAUUCAUUUUGUUAAUUUGCCGUUAUUCAGGUAAUUUUAAUACCAAGAAAAGAAAAGUAGUCAUACAGUAGGUAAAGCCUUCAUGGAAGAAGAGGUAGCUGCACAUUCGUACUUUGUAGAGCUUCCUCAAAGUCUUCCUUAGUUUGUCUACUAGUGACAUAAAAUCCAUGGCUUGUAAAACAUGAAGAUCGAAUAAUUGUAUGCCAAAAUCUUCUCUACAUAAUUUACAAUUUAGCCAUGAUCAAAUCCCGUAGUGACGAAACAAUUCUGCAGAAUUUUUCUCAUUGUACAAUCCCCUUCAUUUCUUGGCGAUCUAAUGUGUCAGGGGUCUAAGGGAACAUUUCAGACUUCUGAUUUUGCGGACCUCUACAAUGAUGUUAUAAUGAGCCUUAGUGUCUUUUGAAUCUCCUACCUUGCUUGGGUUCCUCAUUAAACAACCGUCAAAAGUUAAUGCAUCCCUGAGAAUAUUAUUUGAUCAUUCUUCCACAUAUUAAAUCCAUAAGAUUUUGUGCCUGAAGGACAACACGAUAUCAGACAGCCCCACCCAAUUAAACUGUAACAUGGUCUACAAAAUUAAAAGGAUGUACAUUCAGCUCAAUUUCAGAUGGAGCCUCAAUCAGAAAGGCCCACCCAAUGUGCCCACAUCAUCCUGUUGUUCUCUGGCAUUGUCCCAUCAAAUUUAUCCCAUAAUACAAUGGCUGAUUGACGGGUUAGAAUGUCUUUUACAUCCUAUUUAUUGACAUGAAAAGCCUCAUAUUACAUCUUGAAUGAGGUUUAUGGAUGUGAACCAUGAAGUGACCCCAGAGCCCCAGCAUUAUACAAGGUUUGCAAGCUGAAGAUUGCUAAAUACGCUGAAAGCUGCCACAUAACAACCAGAAAGCUUUUGUAAAGGGAUUGGUCUCCAUUUAUGCCAUUAUGUUGUUCUAGAGUGUAGUUGUUUUGGAAUUUUGAAAAUGGAAAGGAUAUUGCCGAUCACCCUUCUGAGAAACGUGUAUUCUAUGGCAUUGUAGGGUGAUACGCUUCAGCGAUGGCGGACAGAGCCCUUCAUCAUGAUUACGGGCAGUGGAAGGUAAGCUAGAUUCUUAGGUUCUGUUUCCUAUUGUGGUUGUGUCUGCAUGACACAAACUUCAUCUAAGAUCAAAGUUUUGAUCUAUUAUGAUGUGCAAUCUGUCGGACAUCAUGGUUGCUUUCUAGUUCUGAGCUGAUUUUGGUACGCUGUUAUAUUUUUUCUUUUCUAAUGCAAACCUCUGUUGUUAACCUAGGUGGAUUCCACCUUCUUUGCCACCUAGUCGAAGCCCUGAGCAUGAAAAAGAGUCUACUUUUGCAGCUGGUAGAAGCAGGGUAAGCUGUCAUAUCAUAGCAGAUUAUAGCAAUUGUUUUCCCCUAUCCAUGAGUUACAAAUAAUAUAGUUCACAAUAAGUCCAGGCUUGCUUUAUUUCUCAUUAACGUGUGGCAAGAAUAAUUUUUCCUCCGAUGAAAUAAUUCCUCGAUGUGGUUCUAGCGUGUGGAAUUGGAGCGUACAUUGACAGAUGCCCAGCGAGAUGAAUUUGAGGACAUGUUGCGGUCCUUGACUUUAGAGAGGAGUCAGAUAAAAGAAACUAUGGGGUUUGUGUUGGAUAAUGCUGAUGCUGCUGGAGAGGUAAUGCUAACCUUGUAUUGUGGUUGAUACUAAGGAGUCGUCUUUUUCUGAUAGGUCUCUUUGAUGACUUUUUCUGGAGUUUUCCUAUGAGAUCCAAAUUUUAAAUCCUGCUUAACAUUAUCUAUAUUUUGUUUUGAAGGCUUCUCACUGCAGCCUUUGCACAAACUAAUAAGACCUUUAUCUUGCAUGAGCAGUAGGCUUAGCUCUAAAUGAAUGCUGAUAUUAUUUGCCUUUUUCACUGUCCUGCUUUUUGUUUCAGUAGCUCUGCAACUCCAUUCUUGUACUAACCCUUCGAUUUUUACUUGAUCUACUACAGAUAGUUGAGGUUCUUACCGAGUCUUUAACACUUAAAGAAACGCCUAUACCAACCAAGGUUGCAAGACUUAUGCUGGUAUCUGACAUUCUGCAUAACAGUAGUGCCCCAGUGAAGAAUGCUUCUGCAUAUCGUACUAAGUUUGAAGCAACCUUGCCUGACAUAAUGGAGAGCUUCAAUGAUUUGUAUCGCAGCAUCACUGGACGGAUCACUGCCGAAGCACUGAAGGUAACUCGAGACCUCCAUCAAGGCAUAAGUUUGUCAUUUUUGAUGUUGUCAUCACAUGUUGCAUGUUCCUUGUGUUGGCUGCAGGAAAGAGUUCUCAAGGUUAUUCAAGUAUGGGCAGACUGGUUUCUCUUUUCAGAUGCAUAUUUGAGUGGGCUGCGAGCCACUUUCCUUCGAUCAAGCAAUUCAGGUGUCAUCUCCUUCCAUUUGAUAUGUGGUGAUGCACCAGAGAUUGAAAAUAAAACUGGCCAUGAAGAUGCAACUUAUGAUGGGGGUAAGCCUAACCAAGAUGGUGCAUUGGCAAUGGGAAGGGAAGCAGCCAUGAAGGAGCUACUGUGCCUUCCUAUUGCUGAACUAGAAAGGCGCUGCAGGCACAAUGGUCUGUCACAGUGUGGUGGAAGAGAGAUGAUGGUUGCCAGAUUGCUUAAUCUGGAAGAAGCAGAAAGGGGGAGAGGCUAUGAACAAGAUGAUGAUCGAACAUAUGGACCAAGCUAUUCAUAUAAAUAUGCUAGGGAUGAGGGUGUCGGGAAUGCCCAUAAUGCUGGACAUGGAGAACCUAAACUUGAUACAGAAUUAUUGGGCCCGACUGGAUCAAAUCAGUAUGGCAACGAAGUGAUUGGGAAAGACUCUGUUUCACCUGAGCAUGAAACAGUUACAAACGAGAGAGGAAAAUCUGAUCCAGUUUUACUAGUUUCUAAAUGGAGCCGAGAGGAUGAUGGUAGUGAUGAUGAAGAUAAGAAAAGUCCUUCAGGUUUGGGCUUAAGUUAUUCGUCUGGGAGUGAAGAUGCUGGUAAUCUUGGAAAGGCUGCUGAGUUGGAUGUCGUUGCUGCUGGCAUUCAUACUCACCCUGACAAUGUUAUGAAUGAAGAAUAUAGGUCGGAACAUGCUUAUAUAAGAAAAUUACCUAGCUUCUUGUAGUUUGUUUUGCUAAAAUGAUAAUCUUCAGUCCAUAAUUGAUUAACCGUUAUUUCUCCUGCAGACAGAAACUAAGGCGUUUAGAGGUCGCUGUAAUGGAAUACCGUGAAUCUCUUGAAGAACAGGGCUGUCGAGGUAAAGAUGAAAUCGAAAAGAAGGUAGCGAUUCAUCGAAGACGACUUCAAUCUGAAUUUGGUUUAUCAGAUUCUGCCGAUGAUUCAUGGAGCAACAGGAAUCCAUCUGGUCAGUGAGAAAAAAAAAAGCUAUUUUUGCCAUUAUAUUCUUAUGUCUAUCUAUAUACAUGGAAUAUACUGAAGAAGGUAUAUUGCAAUUUCUGAUCAUGUGAUGUCACAUUAUGUUGAUUAGUAAAAAGUACAAAAAUAUUAAUAGAAGUAGAAUUUAAUAAAUUUUUAUCUUGAUCCGUGUUUUUGAUUUGUGACUGUUAAUUCUAGAAAAAUUAUUUAUGCCAGUUUAUACAUUAGACUCCUUUUUUUAAUGGUGUUGCAGCAUCCAUGUGCAUUAGAUUCCUGUUGUUUACUCAAACUACUGAACUUGCAGAAAGGAUAUCUAUGGAGAGGAAGGAGAGACAUGGUGUCGGUGAUACUGCAAGGAAGCGCCGUCGCAGCCAUAGUCAAAGCCGCAGUCCACAGAGGAAGUCAUCAGACAGGGAUCGAGAUAGGCACCGUGACAGAGACAGGUCACAGGAGGAGAGUGGGAGAGAGCGGUCACGUGAGAAGAGUGGGAGUAGAGAGAAGGACAAUCAUCAUGACAAGGAUAGGACGAGAGAGAGGGACAAGGAUCGGAGGAAAAAUGCGAAAUAAACCACUGCAGGGAGUAUGAAUUGGCUCUAAGUACAGGAUUGCUUCUCAUGUGGCUCACAGAUGUUUGCGCCAGAGACCAGUGAAGGAGAGUGCCUGAAAAUGCAAUCUUUUUGAAGUCUAUAGUUUAUUGAUUGGGUUUGGCUCAAGAAAGGUGAAGGCCGCCUUCAGUACAUUCACAUGAAAGGAGAAGCACCUAAACUGAGUUGGAUAUUGUAAAAUCUUAAUUUAGAUGCGGGUUCUGUUUUAAACAAACUGAGUUUUUCUCAGCUGAGAAAGGUGUAAGGUUUGUAGGUCCUAUGAGAUUGUAAGAUAUUUCUGCUGCUCAAAUGUUGGUGCAAGUGAAAAGAAAUAUAUAUUAUCUAAAGCAAAACCGUUGUUGCCUUUCACGAAGGUAAAGAUCAGAAAGCGGCCACCUCAUGAGACUUAGCUGUAGUAAAAAUUCUCCUCAAAAUACCGUAAAUUCUAACAUUACUUGUACGCAUGCAAAUCUAAAACAAAAUUUACUUUUGGGUAAACUUGCAUAUGAAGUAUAUACAUUUACUUGAUGUUGCUAGAAGCAGGGAUUAUACCUCGUCAAAUUUGUAUCUUUUUGUCAUCCAGCUGUUGAAAUGGUAUUAUCUUCUUUUAUGGUCCUCAUACAUUGAUGUGAUGUGCAUGGACGGAAGUGUGGGAGGUUAGAUUUUUAAGCUUGAUAGGUCCCACAGCGGCUGCAGAUGCGGGGCAACAUCUUUAUGCGUUGGCCAAACUCAAACUAGGAAGCUAUAAGUGGAACCGCCUCGUGAGGUUUAGUACUAGGCUCGGUAUCUGGGAUGAAAUUAUGAUACGAGCGAUUUCUGUGCGAAGGAUGCGAUCAGAGUUUACCGCAGAAAUCAAACGAGUUUGUUGUUAAUGAGCAACUUCAUAUUAACAUGCUUCGCUGGAUUAGUAUGAGCUUGAGCAAGAAAUAGAAAUAAGUCAAGCUUGACAUGCAGGUUACUCAUGCUUGGCCUGAUUAGAUAUUGUCUACAUGAUUGCUUAUAAAGAGUUUUAAUAUUCAUCUAAUUGUAUAUUACGAUAAAUGUAUCUUAGUCACCAGUUGUCAUAAUGUAACAUCUAUGGGUUUUAUUUACUAGUAUACCUUCGAAUUAAGAAAUCUUAGUAAAGAUUGGUGAUUAAAAAAAUAUGUAUGUGAUAGCCUUUAGGGACCUUGGCUAGUGAAGAUUAGUGUACCUCUUUGGCUGGGAGAAGAAGUUGAGCCUGAGAUUGUUCAGCUAAAUUGAAUAACGUUCUAACUACGCUUUUUUUUUUCCAAAUUUUAUAUUAACAGUCGAAAAUCCAAUGUCAAAAUGUUUACCUGCUAGCGAAAGCUGUUAGGUUGGGAAUAAACAAUUAUAAAAAUGUCGCAUCAUUUUAUUUCCUUUGUUAUUUUGUAACUUUUUAAUUCAAAUUCCUUCGACGAAUUCUGGAUGUUGUUUUCGAAUAAUAACCACUUCUUGAGCUGUUCCUAACUGUGAAAUCUGUGACAUGAUUCGGAUAGGCUACGUUUUCUUUUCUUUUUUUCCCGGGAAAAAGCGGAUAAGAUAUGUUAAGGAUAACAAGACGCCAAAAGUAUGAGAUCUUAACGGUAACUAAAAGCUCACCCAAGACUCUCUCUCUCUCUCUCUCAUUUCCUAUUACUCCAUCCAUCCCUAUCCUAAUGCUAUCUGGUCGAGACCCUUCAACUGCUACCGUUAUUCGAUGAUCAGAUUAGAUGAUAUAUCAUUCCUCGCAGGAAUCCAUAACAAAUAUGCUCAUGGAAAGUCCAUCCGUUGUUUAGGAAGGGAAACACCUACCAAAUAUUUCUCAACAAGCAGCCUAGAUUCGCCAGCUAACGAAGUUUCAAACCGUUUCAAAAAAAAAAUACCAAUCCGAUACCCACUUCAUAUCCCCCAAUAAAAUCCCCUCCACUACUUCACGUUCCAAAGCCCUCGCUUCUUCCCUCAUAGCUCGCCUCCUCGACUCUCUCUCUCUCUUUCUCUCUCUCAAAUAAGCAAGGCUACUCGUGGUGUUGCUGAAGCCUUAGAUCUGUUCCAAUGGCAGGCGCUAUGAAUGUAGCCACGGGUGAAGGGAAGGAGUACCCUGGGAAGAUUACUGUCUUUGUCUUCAUGAGCUGUCUCGUGGCCUCCUCCGGAGGCCUCAUCUUCGGCUACGAUAUUGGAAUUUCAGGUAAAUCUUGCAAGAGCUUUACUCUCUCAACAUCUUCUCUUUUAAUAUCUCAUUCCAAUAUAUUUCAUGGUCUUAUAAGUUGAUAUUUUCUUUUCUACUGUCAAUAGGUGGAGUGACAUCAAUGGAUUCAUUCUUGAGCAAGUUCUUUCCAUCUGUCUAUAGAAAACAGGCCGAAGACUCGAGUACCAACCAAUACUGUGAGUUCAACAGCCAGCUGCUUACCGCUUUCACAUCAUCACUUUACUUGGCAGCUUUACUUGCUUCAUUCUUUGCUUCAACCACAACAAGAGUGUUUGGAAGGAAGUGGUCGAUGCUGGGAGGAGGGCUUACCUUCCUUGUUGGUGCUGUCCUUAAUGGCGCGGCCAAGGAUGUCGCCAUGCUGAUCAUCGGCCGCAUCUUGCUCGGUAUUGGGGUUGGAUUUGCCAACCAGGUCAGAGACAUAACCAUUAAAGAGAAAGCAAUGAACACCUUCUUUUUUUUUUACCCUUAGAAAAACAAAAUACAACAAACACUUGAGGAUUCCACAUGCAUUAGGGUGGGGUCCCAACUCCUCAUCUAUUAUUUGAAUUGGUUUCAUACCUUUUCUUUGUUUUGAAUUGGCAAGUGGCAAAUGAAAUUAAGAAAGAAAGAUUAUAGCAACAUUACAUCAGUCUUGAUUAAUUCUUUCAUAUCCAUGUGAAAUGGUUUUAUUUUCUCCUGUUUCUUAACUAAAUGUGGAUAACUUAAUCCUAAAGAGAGUUCCUAAGGACCUGCCAAAUAUCAAGUAUGAUGAUAAAGCGAGAUCAAGAGAUCGAGGAGUGAUCCCACUCAUAAUUUUGUUCUUUUUAUGACUUUUUUUUUGGGGGGGGGGGGGGGGGGGGGGAAGCUUUUACUACUUUUCAUUAGCCAUAUACGAUAACUUAUGCAUUGUAUUAUAUUCUAUCACUAGAUGGCUGCAUUCUUUAAUUCCUUAAUCAAGUAAGACUGCAAUUUUAUGCCUCGAUUUUUGUUUUUUCCACAUGCUUGGCGGCUGCUGCUACUACUACUAUGUGAAUAAAUUAAAUAACAUUGCAAGUUUUACCAAAUUACGUGCAUGCGUGAUAUAUUUUUCGUAAUGAGAUUUUAAUAUUCUAAAAUGGAACUCGUACGUGCAUCAUCAUUUAUGGACUUUUUAAGCUCAUAUAUAUUACACCGCUAAUAUAAUACUGGAUUCUUCUGCUAAGAUUUUGAGUUUAAUAUUCCAGCAGUUCGUGCUCACAUUAUAACUUUAUAUCAAAAGGCUAGCUACCAUCUUUGAUCUAAAAAUCUUGUCCUACCAUUUGAUUUCCUACUACAGGCGGUACCGCUCUAUCUGUCUGAGAUGGCACCAGCAAGGCUACGCGGAAUGCUUAACAUCGGCUUUCAGCUUAUGAUCACGAUCGGCAUCUUCGUAGCAAACCUCGUCAACUACGGCACCUCCAAGAUCAAGGGUGGGUGGGGUUGGCGCGUCAGCUUGGCGCUCGCCGCCGUCCCUGCGGCCACCAUCGCCAUCGGCUCCUUGCUGCUACCCGACACUCCCAGCUCCCUCAUCGACCGCGGGCACAGCGAGAAGGCCAGGGCCAUGCUCCGUAGGAUUCGCGGCACCAGCGACGUCGAUGCGGAAUACGACGAUCUCGUGUCGGCGAGCGAGGAGUCGAAGCUGAUAAAGCACCCAUGGGCCACCUUGCGGGAGAGGAGAUACCGUCCCCACGUCACCAUGGCCAUUCUCAUUCCCUUCUUCCAGCAGCUGACGGGGAUGAAUAUUAUCAUGUUUUACGCCCCAGUUCUCUUCAAGACCAUCGGCUUCGGUGCUGAUGCCUCUCUUAUGUCUUCCGUCAUCAUUGGCCUUGUGAACGCCUUCGCCACCCUCGUCUCCAUCUUCAGCGUCGACAGGGCUGGUCGCCGUGUCCUCUUCAUCGAGGGUGGUAUUCAGAUGACCGUCUGUCAGGUAUUCUCUACUGCUUCGAUCUUCUCUACCGUAUGCUCUAACAAAUUUAAUUACAAAGAUUCGAGCUCACAUAUAUAUAUAUAUAAUUAUAUUCAUAUAAUAAUCACACUGGAAUGGAGGCGUGCCUGUACUUUGAGUUUGGUUGUAAGACAAGUCGUAUGAGUAUCUGUUGAUAGUUUUUUAUGAUGGCGCCAAUUCUAGUUAUUAUACAUUAAGUCAUGUAAAUUUUUACAUAAAUAGUGAUAGAUAGGAAUAUAUGAUUUUUAGAAGGGAGCACACUGUUUUUAUUCUCUUGUUGUUUCUAAAGAUAAAAGGCGCUUAUGAUGGAUAGUUAAUGUUUGAAGUGAAAUUCUAACCUGAUCUGUAUUUUUGGGUGCAACAUAACAUCUUCUUUUUUGUGGUUUAGAUUAUUAUCGGAGUUCUCAUUGGGAUCAAAUUCGGAACCAGCGGCGUUGCAGUUCUAUCUAAAGGAUAUGCCGCUGCUGUGGUACUCUUCAUUUGUUUCUUUGUCUGUGGGUAUGCCUGGUCUUGGGGCCCAUUGGGAUGGCUCGUUCCUAGCGAGAUUUUUCCUCUGGAGAUUCGUUCCGCAGCACAGAGUAUCACCGUGGCCGUCAACAUGUUAUUCACCUUCGUCAUCGCCCAGAUCUUCCUCCCUCUACUUUGCCACAUGAAGUUUGGUCUCUUCUUUUUCUUUGCCGGCUGGGAACUGCUUAUGACCAUCUUUAUUGCUAUGUUCCUACCUGAAACCAAGAACGUGCCUAUCGAGGAGAUGAACACCGUUUGGAAGAAGCAUUGGUACUGGUCCAAGUAUGUCGACGAGGCAUCAAAGGGCUCUUCUGUGGAAUGAUCAUUCUAUAUAGUAGAUUAACCUGUGGUCGCAUUUGAACCUGGGAAAAUACCAGUCAGAAGUCUUCAUUGGGUCUCUCAGUAAUUCAUUAAGGUUGUAGGGAUUGCUGAUUUCUUUUUCCUUUUUCUUUAUUGAUGUCAGAUCGAUAAAUUUUUAGGUUUUUCGUGGACCAUGAUUGUUUAUAGGUUAGCAUUCAGAGUAUUUGUGUAAUGAUGGCCAAUUGUAACGGCCAUCUGUUUUUAAUCUCUAAUUGAUAUUAUUUCAAGGUCGAUUAGUUGAUUGUUGACGAACAUUGCCUCGUUUGAUAGGACAGAACAAGGUCGUGUAAAUGAAAACUGACAUGAACAUGGGUACAAGAAUUGUGAUCAAGAACAACUAGAACUAAUAUAUCUAACUUCUCCAUUUAGCUUCCAUCAGUUUUAAAUGUUUAUUUAAACAAUCAGUUAAUUUGUAUCUAUUGAACAAUUAUAUAAUCCUAUUAAAUCAUGCCCAAGAAGAAUCUUAAAUCUUAGCCUCCUCCACUCUCUUCUCCUUCUACUCGUCUUCAUUCCUUGUUAUUCCAUUUUGCUUGAUGCACAUUUCUUCUUAUUUCAUUUCGUUCUCUCUUGAAUCUGGCUUUGAUCAUGAAGAAACGUAAAUCAUGUCCUAACCUCUGGAAGAUGAUAAUGGUCUACCAAUGUGAACUUGUAUAGUUUUUAGUUUUCCAGGACUCCCAUCCAUGGGUUAACUCACCCCAUUUUGAUCUCAGAUUUUGCUUAAAAAAUGGAGGGAAAUAAAUAUAAUAGCCAAUGAUGCAACAGUUAAUUACCUCACCUCUCCUGAUUCUUUACAAACACGUUUUUGGAUGAAUAUUUUCCUCCUUGCAGCGGAGUGGCUUUGUCUUCCAUUAACGCAUGCUCCACAAGUGGUUAUGCUGACGAUAUGUAGCUGUUUGCAAUGCCUCAGACUAUGGAUGCACAUUUCGUUUAUUAGAAAUUCCACCAAGAUAGUUUGAAACAGAAAUAGUUGUGAGAAAUGAGAGAGAUCGAUCUGCAGUAUUACAGCUGCAAUACUGGAUUUUACAAAUUUGACCAGAUUUUCCCUUUCUUUUUCUUGAAGAACAAGCUCCUUUUCCAAAGUUUCAAGACGACCAAAGUGAAACCUUAAGAGUAUCAUUUAAAUCAUAGCCGAAACUUCGUAAGACCUCAAAGUAUUGCGACUUCAUAAGAAUUGACCAUCAUGCUGCACAUGAUCAAAAGGGCCAGUUUCCUGAUUCAAAUAGUGGUGGUUGUUAACAAUAUAUAACAGUAAACCAAAUACUCUGAAUUUAAACAGUAGUCUCACCACCUCGAAACCCAAGGUGAGGCUCCACACUAAUUAUUGCCUCUAAUCACAUUCACUAGGGCUAUUUCCUAAAGCCAUGGUUAAUUGUAAGAGAUCGUCUAGGGCCAGCUCCAUGAAUAACAUAAAGGGUUUCGCUUUGAAACUGAGCACAGAGUUUAAUCCUGACAAAAUAUCUAGAUCCCAGUCAUGUUAUGGAACUAUUAUGACUGAGCUUAGAUAAAUCUCAUGUUUUGACUUCAUCGAAACGGCGAUUGAGUUCCUGAUGUUGAAUUUUAUGCUAAUAAAUUUAAACAUCCAGUAAAUCCAGGCCCAACCCUAGAUAUUGCAAUUUUAUCAGGUUCUGCUAACCAUAGAAACGUUUGAUUUCAAAAGAUUUCAAAAGAUGCUUGGUAAUAUGGAAAACUGAGAAAGAAUAUGACCAAAACCAAAAUGUACAUCCAAUUAGUUGCACAUACAAGAACAUGAGUUUACAUGCCUACUGAGAAAAUGGUUAGCCGUACAGUUUAAAAUAUUGAUACUGCAGUUCAAAUCCAAAGAUCAUAUGGUCAUUGGCAGAAUUUUUUGAGUUGCAACCUGAGGCUUGAUCUCCCACGAAGCCAUUUGAUCAGCCUCUUCCGGCAGGAUGAAAGGCAAUGAGAUCUCCCGGAUCAUUAGGUCCCCACAGAAUGGGCACUCACUGGCUAUAGCAUCAUCCAGCUGUGACCGCAGCUGUCCCAGAAAUUCAAGUAUAUGCAUGUCAAUGUAGCAAUAACUCAACAAUCACCACGAAUAUUACAUAAGGUUCAUAUCAUACUUACCUUAUCUAUAGGCGUCGUGCUCGUGAUGGAUUCACCAUUUGCACUGCCAUUUGAUUCCUUUGUUGCUUUAUCCCCAAGUAAACUGAGCUGCUUCUGAAGGUCCAGUAUAUAUUCAGCCUACAUCAAACAUAUAAUAAAUGGUUUAAAGAAAGCAGGAUUAUUGUUGCAUUCUUAUUCUUCAGAGAAUGUUGUAUCUCCACCAGGGAGAAAAAAGCAUGCGAUGCAAGAAAACUAGGUCGUCUAUUUUUCAGAAAAAAUGAAUUAGAUGAGGCUGAACAGAAUAAACACAGAUGGUUUAGAUAUUUGUAAUACAAGCGCAAAAUUUGAAAGACUUUUACAGGGAAUUAUUAUUAUUACAGUAAUUGCUGGCAGAGAUGAUAACUAUGCUCAGAUUGGUAGACCAGAAAUAAUUACUGAAAUAACAGAGCGACCCAAGAAAGGAAGUAUCAGAAGUCUGCAGCCAUUUAUUUGAACAUUUAUUUGUACAUGAGGAACACUGGAAGUACCUUUAUUUGUACAAAAACUGAAGUCUGCAGCCAUCUUAUUAAUGCCCGGUUACUGCAUCAUUUUAGGGAGGGUAAAAAUGUCUUGCCAAUUGUAUGGGGGACAUUUGUGAAAUUGCUUUGCGGAAGAUGUUCACUCACGUAACAGUGGCAUCUUCAAUGAAUUUUAUUCAAUAUUUUCUAAAUUAAUAUUUGUUGCCAUACAAGAUUCAGGAUAUCCAACCUAUUACUAAUAAGGAUCUUUUCCAAAAGAUUUAUAGUAACAUAAUUUUUUAAGAACUUUCACAAGAAAACAUCAUAACUUAGUAAUCAUAGAAACAGAACCAAGGCAACUUGUGACUUACCUGAGUCCGGCUUGUGUAUUGAGUAACAUGAGCAAUCAGACAUCGAGCAUGAAAGGUAUGCCCACAAGGAAAGACAUAAAAUGGGGCCAUAGGUCCAACUGAUGUAUAACCUCUUGCUAAUCGUUGUGUUGCACCAGAUGUUAAUAUUCUGCGUUUGCAACCCUAAUAACAUAAUAGAGAAAAAGGGUAGGUAAGAACAUCGCAAAUGCAUCAGGAUUGUCUUGGUGCAAGAAAAUAAUGAUUUUUUGAACUUAAAAGUUAAAACAAAGCAUAAGCUUUCAACAUACAUGCCUAUAAAAUAUAAUUUCAAGGAAGAAAAAAAAAAUCCAAAUAAACUUUGAUGGCAGAAAGCAAAUCCUUUUUCCCAUAUCAAUGAGAAUUGACCAUAUCUUAAGUGGGCAUCAGGAAACCAUGUAAUCAAUCAAGCACAAAAUGCAAAAGCAAUAAGCCACAGUGAUUAGGUCUUAACAUGAAAUACAUAAUCAGGAUUAGUUUCAACCGAAAUUUGUUGUACUAGUACCAGAUACUAUAUCAGUACCUUACUAAUAUAGUACGGACUGUUAUAGUCACUCCCAUACUGAUAUAUGGCAUGCUGCUAGAGAUGAGAUAGAAGCAGUACCAUGUGUGAGUACGGUACUGUAAUGAACUCCUGUAUUGUACCGAUACCUUACCAGUAGGCCGUAUGGGUUGGUCGGUACCAUGAAAUGCCGUACCGGCCCGUACCGGCCGGUACGUACCGGUCCGGUCCUAGACCGGUACCGGAACCACAAGAAAACCGGUAUCGCACCGGUACUGUACCGAUACCGGCCGGUACGGAGCCCGUACCGGUUUUCUUGUGCGAACCGGCCGGUUCGCACCGGUACGAUUUUUUUUUAUAAUGAACCACAGCGCGGGGCGCUGUGGUUUUUGGCUCGCGGUACCGGCCGGUACUGUACCGAUACCGGCCGGUACGUACCGGACCGGACCGGUACCGUACCGGUCCGGCCCGCCACCGGUACGCCGACCGGUACCGGUACGGCGGACCUUGGUCGGUACAGUAAACCAGGAUUUCAAAUUUUCCAUUUAUGUUGCAAUGUCCUUGGCUAGCCAUCAAGACUAGCCUUCAAAAUUGCUGAACUUUCUGUUAGUUUAGGUACAACUAAUAUGUUUAAGUGAACACAGACAUCUGAAACAAUAGUUACUAUUUAAGACAAAAUAAUCACAACAGUGGGAGGAUUUUUUUCCAAAUAAAAGAACAUUUUGUAGGAUAAAAAGGAAAACAAUGUCAAUUCAUCCCAUGGACCAGUACCCCGCAUUCUGCAUCACGAUCAAUAACAGCAAAUCUUUGAGCAAGGGCACUGAUAUCAUUCCUUAUGUUGUCAGCCCCAUGUGUAGCAUCGUUCAUCUCCUGUUUCAGUUGCUCGAUCUGCCUGUUGUAGUCCUCCAAGGAUGUGCAGAUAGCUUCCUAUAAUAUACCAAAUAAAUUUUAAAUGUUAGGUUGCUAAGUAACAAUUAGCAAGUCCUCACAAUAUAUAAGAAUUUUUCCACAAAAAAAGCAAGUAUUUGAGUCUUAAAUCUUAUGUAUUGCAUUAAACCUGCACGAAGUAGACUACAAAGACUUCAAACUCAUAAAUACAUAAUGCUUGAUUUACAUAUUUUAUAUAGGAAAGCAGAGUCAGUCAAGGAUAGGACCAGCUGAGGUUUCACUGGCUUCCAGUGCAGCAUGAUCCUGUUAAACAUGUCUAUUCCAUGUGCAGAUAUACAGUGGAGUAACUUGCAAAUUCAAUUAUUCUACUAUGGAAACUUAAGCAGCAAGCAUGCUUGCAUAUAACACAAAAUACCGUGAACAGAAAUGCUGUAAACAAUAUACUGUUGCAGGAAAAAACCUUGGACAUUAAUGUCGCAAAGGACUUUAACUGGGUGAUUCCAGGUUACAGGCCACUUAGGCCCGAGUUUUACAGGGGUACAGAUUCCAAAACUAUCCAUGACAAUGUUAACAGAAUUAAAAGAGCUAUUUUGGAAUAAAUUGCCAUGUUAAUUAAAAGAAUAAAUUUUCAUCUAUUUAUUUAUGCAGAAAUGAUGUGGAGCAUACAUUUUGGUAUAUUUUGGAUAUUUAGUCAUUAAAUUGCUUUUUAAAUGGAUUUACAGUCAAGGUUUGAUCAGAGUUUUUUUUUUGAAAUUCUUAAAAGAUUAUAAUUAGAUUUCCUCUAAAAAUGCAGCUGUAACAUGCUUUCUUUUUUUCCUCAUCAUGUCUAAAGUAGCAAAUAAUCAUCGGAAAUUAGAAUGCUUGAAGCACAGUCAAAAGAAUUUUACUUUGAAGUCAUCAAUCAGUGCAAAGUCUGGAAAGAAUGGCAAAAUGUCCUCAAUCUUCAGCAGGCCAUCAGUUUCCUUGAGAAAUGCUAUUGCCUUCCUUAUAUUCUCCCUUUUAACUCCUUUUUCUUGCUCAAUUACAUGCUUUGCCACCAUAAGCCAUAGCUUCUUCCUUAGAUCCUCAUCAUCUUCAACCUUGUCUGCUUCCGCCAUAGCAAGUUCUGGGUCUACCUAGUAGAAAGUCAUCCAUUCAAACAUAAUUAAUAUCUAGGAGGAAGCAUAAAAUCUUAUAAUGCCGUCCACAAAAUAAGUCAUCACAGUGCUGCCUCAAACAAUGAUAAUGCAGUUUCAAAACUUACAAGAAACAUAUAAUAUCAGCAAGGACAAGUACAAUAGCAUCAGAAACAUGUCAGUGAUUUUUACUGCAAGACUUCUUUGUUCUCAUGCAUAAUAUACAUACACAACUAUCAUCCUCUAUAACCUAAACCAGAAAGUAGUUAGUACUAGAUAUAUUGCAUGAUUUAAUAAGCAGUGUCAAAAAAAUCUGAAAAGUAGUGAACCAGAGAAAACUAAUCAGUAGAAUCAUAUUUUUUUUUCCAGUUACCAUAGAGCAUCCCCAGGUCCCGAAAUCUAUUAAGUGCAUCAAAUUAAUAAAAAGAUUAUGGCCUAUGUAAAAGGCAAUAUUAAUAAGUGCACCAAAUCACAGUUACCUUCUACUAUAAUUAGUUAGAGGAUGCGGAUGAGUAUCUAGAUCCAGGUCCCAUAAUCUAGGCUAGACCAACCAGCUUAAAAGGUCUAGCCUAUGAAAUGGGUUAGAGAUUUGAGAUUAGGGAUACACGUUCGGUAUAGCUCAGUACUCACAAAUACUAUUACUCUUGCAACCUAAUCAGUUUUUUGCUCUAAAGACUGAUUCGUUCUAAUUUCUAGGUUAAUUAAUAAACACUUUUUAGUUCUGAAGAAUUCUCUAGCACAAGAUCUGAUUUUUAGCUCAGUAAAAUAUUAGAAACCAAUCCGAUUAUAGUAAAGAUAUAUAACAAAACCCGCAGUCCAGAUGCGGCUCCUAUCAAAUUAAUUUUCAAAAACAAAUGAGGGUUGGUACCAAGGACCUAGAUUCAAGUCCUGCCCUCACUCGGAUUUCAGCUGGAAUUUCUCCAUCCUAGUUCUAAAACAAAUCAAAAACAAUUAAAUAAUAUAAUCACAUUUGAAACACAAAUUACUAAUAAUAAUAAUCCACAAUCAGAAUGAAGAAAUCUGAAUAAAUAGUGGGACGCACUUGAAUGAAAGGAAGUAUGAAUCUAAAUUAAAUAGUAAAACAACUAGUCUAGGGCAUGCGCGGUUGCAUUACAUUUGUAGUCAAGGCUCAUAAAAAGAAUACCAUUUGGAAAAUGAAUGACAAAAGCGGCCGCAUGUGAUCAAAUAUUUCAGUAAACCAUAUUUCUGUAUCAGCCCUAGAAGCCCAUCAAGUAGGCUACAAGGAUUCCAAAAGAGACUAUGAUUCACAAAUAUGGAUGAUCUAGCAGUGGAGGGGGGCAAGCGAGAGAGGAAAGGAAGAAAGGACAAGAUCAAGAGAAAAGACAUGGCAGAUAAAAAGAAAAGGAUGUGCAAAAGUGACCAAGGUAGUGACAGGGAUUUGAGUACUUUGUUCUGUGCUUGUGUUGGUCAAGCCCUAGCAUAAUAUGUAUUAUGCCAUGUGGAGCUGUCUAGUCACAUGCUCAACCACGUUUUAAGGCUCAUGAAAACCAAUUCUGGCCCCCAACGGUCAAUACUAGUGUGUGCCAGAUCAUCAAUGAUUAAUAUGGACUGGCAGGAACUAGCAUAUACAAUAUAGAGGUACAUAUCCUUGUCUCGCACUGAUACAUUAUUGGCAUGAUAUGUAUAUGGCAUGGAACAACAUGGUACAUCACCAACAGCCAAGAAAGGAAAAACUAAAAGGGGAAGCCCAGGUGAAGAUUGCCGUUACAGGAACCUUCAACUGGUAAGAAUCCCCAGCCACCCUUCAAUCUCUUGGAUUUCCAUAUCUCCUUUUUCUAUUAACCUAGGGACAUCAAAUAAGAUGCCAAAUCACUCAAGUUGUCAUGUGACAGGCAUGUGACUAAUUAAGUAGGUUGAAACACUCCCAUACGAAAGGUGAAAAUAAGCCAAACUAAAUGAAAACAUAUCAAACAAAUGCCCUAGAAUAUAUUGGUCAAAAUAGUAUUAAAGACAUUUAAAUAUACCAUGCUGUUAUCACAUGUGAUGCAGUUAAUACUAGAAUAUCUGCUAACCGAUGCAUGUUUUAUGUUGGUAAUCUUUCCUGAAAUAUUCAGGAAAGACACCGAAUAAUGCAGUGACAUUUAUAUCCGGCAGAUAUUAUUCAAAUUACUACAUAAGAGAAUUACAUUGAAGUGAUAAAGAAUUUUAUAAAGAAAAAAAAUCAUCAAUCAUUUUUACCUGCAAUGCAAGGGCGACAGCUUCUUCAUGCAUGGACAUCAUGCUGUAUAUAUGAACACAAGCACGCAUACGUUUUUCCUUGAGGCACAGUCGCAAUGCAUAUUUGGGAUCAUAAAAGAACUCAGGGCCACUAGUUCGUCCUUUACCAAACUUGCAUUGUAAAAAACGCAAUAGAGAACUCUCAUCUUCCUGAACAUAAUAUCACAAAAUAAUUGCUGUUAUAUAGUGAAGAUGAUUACUGGGCAUCCAUUUGUACACCAAAACACGCAAUACUAUAGUGAUAUCAGACAUGAAAUAGCUUUGCUGUAUCGUGUUUUCAACAUUAAAUAAUGCACAGCAAUUUUUCUGAAAUAGCUUUGCUCACAGCUAAACAUUAAGAUGCUUGAAGAGCAAUCAAAAUUGCAUCUGCAUGUAUGAAACAUAUAAGAUCACAAGCACUUCACAGGUCAGAUGCCUAAAACAUGAAUUCUUAACUAGACAUACUAAAACACAAUAUGGCAUGUUGGAGAUGUUUGUCAUAUAUGUGACCGUUACAAGUUCUAAUUGAACAUAAAUUGAUAAAUUGAAUUGAGAUGCUUAAGAUAGCCUACAUCUAAUGCCUGAGCCAGAAAACUUUGAAAAUUGGAAUAUAAGCAAUAAGAUACUUGCAUAAUCUAAGAUUUCACAAAAUGAUAUGUGCAGAUGACUUUGGUUAUUACUUAUUAGAAUGUAGUUCACAACAAAAGAAAUGCAAUCAUCCUUUGCUUCAAAAUUGAUGUUUUUUACUGCAAGGACAAAAUGUUGGUACAGUGAAAAUUCACGGUCAGGUACUGUUGCCCAAGAAAUUCAUCCUUCAAUUUGAGUAUAAUAUUAUAUUUUCACAGAAAAAUCAUUGUUCUGCAAAAAAAUGAACUGUCAAGCACUGUUUUCCUAAGAUAAUUGUCCAUCUGACUUAAUAUGUUUAACAAUACAAACUGUUGGUGCUGCUAAAAUGCACCAGCAAGUAACCCUGUCCUAAGUCUCUGAAUUUUCUACCUUAAUUAUUUGAGAUGUGGUCAGAUGAACUCUGAGCAAAGGGUCCUUGUAUUCUGAUUUAAUGUGCCUCGUAUUCUCACCAAAUCUGCAAAUCAUCUAGAAACUUCGAGCAUGUUCGCUAAGUCUACAGUCUGUUUUAGUCAUGUCCUGGAUAUAGGUAAGUAAAUCUUUAGGGCUACAUUAUUCUACAAAUUUUGUGUACUAUGUAGUCGCUUUUCCUGAUUUUAGUGAUUCAUGAUUUUUAAGAGAGUCAAAGCUUUGGGCAAGGAUGGUUUUUUCUUUUCCUUAUUCAUGCUUUAGUUCAUUAAACACCCUAGAUAUGAAGGAUGAAUUUAAUUUGCAACUGAAAAGAUAAAGUAACACAUAAUUCAAAUAAUGAUUAUUCUUCAUGUAAAAUUUUGUAAGAGCUGUUAAAACUUCUUAAUGUUUAAUACGCUAAAGGUGGGCCCCACAAGCAUUUCAGUUUCUUGUCACUAUAACAGAAUUUAAGCAAAUCAUCUCAUAGAAUAGCAAAAGAAAACAUAACGAUUUUUAAUAAACCAUUUAACUGCGUAAAAAAGAGUCAGUUGUUUGUCCUAAACAUGUUACUGUUCAAAAAAUAGUAAAAGUUUCAUAGCUGUCCAAUUUCUAUACAAAUCAAGUAAUUCAUAGUACAGAUUCUACAAGCAUGGGAUCCAUGCAUCAGCAUGUCCAUUCUGCUUCCAAUCACCCAUUUAUUCGUGAUAUAAGGAAAUAUUGAAAAGGUCUCUUAUCUAAUUUGCUGUCUGAUUCCAAAGUAAAUCACCAGAAAUCAGGAAACAAUUAUAAAUUAGCAGAAAUUUCUAAACGAAAUUGCUCUUUAGUAUUGCCACCACUGAAAUUGCUCUUUAGUAUUUCUACCACCUAAUCAUGAAAAAACUCAGCAAAGAGAGAAGAUCAUAUAGAAGAAAAGGCUCCGCCAAAAUUUCUGAACUAAAUGAACAACAUUAUAUUUUCAAAGUCUUUGAAGAACACAUCAAAUUCAAUAGAUUUCACCAAAAAAGAAAAUACGAUACAGCAAGAAAAUUGCAAGAAUCUCAAUCUGCUUUUGCAAUAACAUGACCACAAGUUCCAAAUCUCCUAGAACCAUCUCAAGCAUGGUCCAACAAAAAAUUUAUAAUGUGGGAUUAUAUUUUUUACAUGAGUUCUUUGAAUUCUUUCUCAUCUUUAGGCAUCCAUCAUAUUGAUCUAACAUGGAACAUUGUGAUAAAAAGUGUAUGAUAUGGCAUCAUAGGUACCAUCUCACUAAUCAAAUGCUUAAGGCAAGGUAUGCUGAACCGACUGGAACCGGUCAGUUCAUCCUGAACAGCAUAAAAAAACGGUUCAAACCCAAACUAGGUCGGAACCGAUUGGUUCCAUACUUGUAUCGGUGCAAACCGGGCCGAUUCACACCGGCCCAAACGCAUUUUCCUCAUGCGCGGAGUGAUUUUUUUUGGCAUUUAAUGCGCGGAGUGAUUUUUUUUGGGAAUCGCGCACGGACGCGCGUGCGGAGAAUGCACGCCCGUGUGCGAUUCCCCGCGCAGGAACCACGCCCACGGCCGAUUCUCCAGCAGAGAAUCGCGCCCGCGCGCGGUUCCCCGCGUGGGUGUGCUUGCGCGGGGCAGCGCGCCCACGCGGGCAGCCCGCGUGGGCCAUUAAAUGCCACAUAGUGACAUUUAACCCGUCCACGCGCGUCCGCAGAUACACGCGAAUGCAUUGGUUUUUUUAUUCUUUUUCCUUUUUUUUUUUGACGUCCACACGCACGCGGCCGCAGACGCUUGCGUCUCCGAUUCGGUACUGUGCCGGUACCGGUGCUCACCGGUACAUCGGUACGGUCGGUCCGGCGAACCUUGGACUUUAAGGUAAUGUUUUCAAUGGAGAACAUGAUCAUACACAAGGUUGGUCGUUUCAGUACCAGACUUUGUACCGGUACCAUCCUAGUAGUGUCAGGACACUCGAUAUGGGGGUUAGUUAUGCAUACUGACACUCGAUAUAUAGUUGUGCUAGUAAAACUAGGAACAUUCACUGUACAAUUUUAGCAUUUCAACUACUGUUGAAAGCAAGUUAUCAAUACCAAGAGUACAGUUAAGUGAUUUUUGAAUAUCUCCUGCACAAUUAAUUGAAAUUCUGAAACAUAUUUAGGAGUCUAGUCUCUGUUAUCAAUGUAGAUGGAGUACACAAACUUUUAAAUGUACAUGUUAAAGAUGUCCUCUACUGUAGGUUCCUCAAUCAUAUGCACCUUCCAGGAUGCCAAUUGUCAUAGUAAAACUCAGGGUAAUUAGUAUACAUACUAAGCACUGGAGGGGUCCAACUCCCCUAAAGGCUCAGGCUGUUGCUCAUCGAUGCUAACUUUUUCUCCUAUAACUACUUACUAGUUACUAGUUACUGCUUUGACUAAUCAGAGAGCAAGGAAAUAGAUGAAAAAAAUGCUCAACUCACAGAUAGUAUACAUUAAGAACAUAGCAAUACAUUGAAGCAAUCAUUAUUUUUUAAUCCAAUGAUAUCACUCCAGAAUCAAAAAUAAUAAGACCUCCAAAAUACUUAUAAUGAAUUUGGACCAAGACUUCACAGACAAUAAAGAAAAAUAUAAAACAACCUUUUAGGACCUUUUUAUAAAGAGGAUACAGAGCAACAAGAAUUAAUCUCGCAAUAAGGUUUGCCAGUGCUUUGCAAUAUGAUCUGUCAUCAGGUCAAACAUCAAAAUAAUUGCAAAUCUUAGAAUGACAUAUCAGUCCAAGAUGCUGCAUGCAGUAGAUAGUAGAUUGUGGCAAUUUCUCAGUUAGAUUUCAAAAAAAUGAAAACCUUAAACGAGAAGUCAAGUGAAAAUAUAAUCAGAAAUAUCAGUUCUGCUAACAUUUUCUGAAAUUACAGCAGCUAAAUCUCUAAUAGAAAGACCUAAAAAAAUUGCCAUGUUCGAGAUACAUUCAUCCAAGAAAAAGUAAUUCCACAUCUGAGUGGCAGUACCAGUUGGCUUCUUGACUUCUUGGAGAUAUAACAGGCUUCUUCAACUUUUAUCAAGUAACUUGAUGUUCAUUGAAAUACUGCAAAUCCAAUUUUUAUACUGAAAUAUAUAAUUGGUCAUUUUCCACUUCAGUAAUACUAGUUAUAAUGCAAGUGUUUAUGCACAUUAUGUUAAUAAUUAAUGACUUGACAUAUGUUCUAUAAAACUAAAUUAUUUUAAUUCUAAUACCUUGUAGUCAAAUCAAAUAUCAUUUUGCCUAUAUGAGUUUGGGUUUAAUAAUAAUGGAAGAUAUACUAAUUGCAAAUUUCUUCUUGGAACUUCAAUAAUUUUUUUGUCCAUCAGACAGAAAUGCCCCCUCCCAUACUUGCACAGUUCUAUAAUAGAACUUGCACAAGUAUUGAAAAUCAAUUCCACAAUGUGAACAAGGUAAUAUUAUAAAAAAAAUUUGCAAAAAUUCUGAACAUUGUUUCCACAAAUUUUAAAUGUAAGUUGAAGAAAUUCUGUUUGUACUGCAUAAACCGGCUAAAGCCAUGGGCAGGUAUAGCAGCACAUCAGGGGCACAAAUUCCCUUUGGUAGCAUAAAAUCAUAGAAGGUUGCAUAAAGAAAAACAAGAGUAUCGACAUUGCAAGUAGUAAUAUCAUCUAUACUUUACAAAAUCUUGUAUUCUUUUGCAAAAUCCCCCUCGAGCUCUUCAGGUAAAAUCUAGUUAGAAUUAAUGUUGUUAUCGAAGGGCAAUAGUGAGAUUAAAAAUGAGAGGGGGUUUGGGUUUUGAGGGGUUUCAGGUCUCAAAGAGGAAAGACAGCACAAGGGAGUCAAUGGCUAUGGUAGUGGGCCAGGGGCAGUUCUUUUAUGAAUUGGGCUAGACUCUGCCUUCUGUUUCAAAUCUAAAAAUCUAAAGCUGACAAGAGAUAAAGAGAGAUUGUGGGUUUUCAUUAAGAAAUAAGAUAUAAAUUAAUUGACGUUGCUCAGCAGAUGGUUGACCACAUAACUAGAAACUCUAGGGACAUAAGAGUAAGAACAAUAUGAGAUGUCGAAGCCAACAAAUCUUUGAUUCAGAAAUGAUAUUUUCUAACAGAAAUCCACUUCCACCAUUUCUUACAUUUAAGGAAGCAUCUUGUUUGAAAUUGCAUGCUAAAAAGCUUAAAUCCCUCAAAGAUGCACCGCAAAUUCUCUCCAUUUCCGUAAUAGGGCUUUCUUAACUUCAUCUUCUAGCGUGUCCAAGCACAACAAAAGAGAUAUUUCUCUUUUUUCUCAUGCUUUAUAUAAAAUAAUAAAAAAGAACCAGUAUGUCUGAAACUACACCAAGACCAAAAGAACAUAUAUUGAAAUGCAGUCUAGAGAAACAGAACAUGCAAUUUGUUUUUAUGGAUAUAAACAAGGUGAAAUAAGGAGCUAAAAAGCUAUCCAAUGAAUUAGCAACUAUAAUGAUAUAUCUAACCUGCUUGGCGUACAAGGAAAGCAACAAAUUGUGCACUCCAGGAUCCUCAUUAUGCAAAUGACGGACACAGAAUUCCAAAUACUUGAUGACUUCAUGUGUUUCAUUCCUGCAUCCAGUAAAUUGUUAUUUAGAACCAUAGCAACAAAUAAUUUCAAGGAAAGUUAGUUUACAAAAUCAAGUAUAGAAGAAUAAAGCUUUCAGGUUUGCAACUUUUGAAAGAGGAAAAUGGAGGAAGCACCUCCCUUUGUGUCUGUAGUGGUGCAACAAUCGUAUAAGUCUUUUUACAUAUUAUGUGGUACAGAAUCUUGGCUUAAGCUUACCAACAACAAUAUGAGGCUUCCAUGAUUUUGAAAACAAAGCAAAUGAUGGAGUGCUUUAGGCCUCUUAAACCUCUGUAUGUGUGUGUGUGUUUUUCUUUGAUCAAAAAAAGAAUGUUAAAUAGCUAAGCCAUCUUCAGGUUUUGUAAUAUAAGAAUAGUUCAGAGUUCAGACGAUAUUAGUAACUGACAGGUGACAAAAUUCAACUUGGGCAGCCAAAAUUGACAAGAUUCUUUCUUACCCUUUUUAUGUCAAUUUGAGAUUUCAAAACAUCAAUUUUUGGCAUAGAGACCAUAGACAAUAUCAAAGGCACCCUAAAGCAAGUUUCACACUUCAUUUCUGAAGUAGCAAACUAAAGAGAAAUCUUUUUCUGCAUUUUGGGAUACCUCAACAUUUAAUUUCAAAAAACUAUCGACAAUUUUCAACCUUGAAGGUUCAAAUAUCAAUUAGACCACAAAAAUAACAAAAAAAAAUGCUUAUUCCUAAUUUUUCUUCCGAAAAUUAUCAAAGAAUCAACAAGUAACAACGGCAAAUAUGAAAUUUUGAAAAGUAACCAGAAAUUACUAUAAAUAAUCUGUAAUAUUCUGAACACAUCCUUCAUUGAACUCUACCAUUCACCCAGAAGAUCCCACUAUUCAACUUUUUCCUCUAUUCUCAACUUUUAGAUUCCAAUGUUUGCCUAAGUUCAUGCAAAAUUGUUAUAAAGUGAAAUUAACAAAAUUACCCUUGUCACGUUAAUUUCUGUAAUUUGAUUUUCUGGCUUGGUUAUUUGGAGGUAGGCAUGGAUUAAAAUAUGAAAACACAACAAAUGUAGCUUUGCUAAAUGAAGACCGAUUAGAUUCACAAGAUGAUGCAACAUAGACGGUAGUAGUUACUCAACAGAAUGUCUAAGUACAAGGGACCACACAAAAUCAUUGGCAGAGAAAAAGCUUUGAUCUACAUGUUAUGUAAGAGAACUAGAGAGAUCUCUAAGUCUAAGAGGCCUUAAACUAAACUCUUGUUCAAAGACAAGCUAGAUUAUAGGGAAUCUAUAUUAUUCAAGGGUUGAAGACCCAGUCCAUCCUAACCAUCCCCCAUCAUAGUAGAGAGAGAGAGAGAAUACCAAGAUAGGGGCAAUACCCUAGGUAUCUCCAAACUAGGCCAUCCCAAUCUGUCCUGGUCCGUCCUCACCACGGAUAGAUUGGGACUGAUGUGUCCCAACAACUGGAAUGGCCUGGCAACUUGUUUUUCACUAGGAUGCCCUUUUUUUCUCUCUUCUUUCUUGUUUUUAAUGGAUGUUUAGAGGCUUUCUUGUUUUUUAUUUAAAUUCAUGAUCAUUUACCUCAUGAUAUGAUUGACUAUUGAUGUUUCAUUUAAAUUUAUUGUUAUUUUUAAAAAUACUUUUUUCCAAUCCAAUGGUACUAGUACCGAUAUAGGCACCAUAGACCCAAUCACUGGCUCAAAAGACCUAACCUAAAUUCUAAAUUUUGACAAACUCUAAAAACCUCUAAACGAUUAAAAAAUAAAAAAAGGACAUCGAAAUGAAUCACUUAGAUGCAACCUUUUCCAAGUGUUAGAAUAGGAGCAUCUUGGUAGUGUGUGGCCUGGCCCUAGAACAAUACUCGUCCCUAUAUCAAGACUUAAACCCUUAUUAUUAUUACUACUACUUAUCACACAGCCCAAGGUAAAAGAGAGAAUCAAGCAGAUCAUCAAAGGGUCUCAAGUCUCAACUGUCUUCUAAAGCAUGUUGAAUGUCUAAAACCAAGCUCUCAAACAAUACCUCAUCAAGAGAUCUUAGUAUCGCACAAACUAUGUUCACAACGGAAGAAGUUGAUCAUUCAAGAAUUCGAUAGUCUAUUAUGCGCAUAACCUUGCUUGGUUGCAUAUAUAAGGACAUCAUGGUUCGUCGUACUGGCCCGAACCAGGCAAUACGGAGCAUACCGUACCAUACUGAUACUGUGCUAGUAUGGUACCGGUAUGGAAUCUGGUACCGAGACAGCGAACCUUAAAGGACAUACAAUGGAUAAAGCCUAAUAGCACUCUAGACUAUUGAUAUCUAUAAGCCAAAUUCUAAACAAUCAAAUGUAUCAAGCCUUAAUUAAAAUAUUCAAAUAGAUAAAAAAACUACAUUAUUUCUUAUACAAGUCAAUAUCUAGACAUAAUACUAAGGUACAUCGUCUCGUUACUGGGCCCUGUGCCAGUGCCACCUGAUCAAUAUGUCGGUACUGGUACGGGAGCCUAUUUGGCGUACUGACUGUUGGUACGCCUCCCGUACCAUGUAUCGGCACCGAACUGGUACGGUACGUCCUGUACUAGCAUACCAUACAUAAUACAAUACUAUGCAUCUAGCAAGGCAAUAAAUCUUUAUUCUACCAGAAAUUACACUUCAAUAAACAGACCCAUUUACUAACCUAGGAACAUUUUCUUGAGUAAUUUGGGAAUCCCUGAAUAACUCCAAAUUAUCAAGAAAGCUCAAACGUACUUGGGAAAGAAGGAAAGCAAAAUUUUAAGCCAAGAUGUCUUAAUACGGAUCAUGUUAUGCAAAAGACUUGUAAACAAUGCAAUGCCACUAUCAGAUCAUUUAGUUUAAAAUUUCAGCCCUAAAUCGCCCUUCAUUUUCUGCCUUCCCUCAACCUAACAAUAUUAUUUUGUUGUCUCCUUACUAUUCAAUGUAUCGAAUUUUCCUUUAAUUCUCAGCCAUCACUAACCUGACUUAAUCAGAUUGAAAUGGACAGUUUAUUUUUACUAGAGUAAAUUCCAUUGCUGGCUUUUGUAGUCAAGACAUAAAUGACUAUGGUCAAAGGUGUGUUACAAGGAUUACGAGUAUCAAAUGUACUAAACAUGGACAAGUGCAAAUACCCUUUGUAUGCCCUAGACCCAGCAAUGACUGCAUCUACCAAACCAUGUCACUCCGAACUGGCCCUAUCACCCCAUUCAAACUGUGAACUAACGGUUUACAGACCUGCAUUGUUCAUUUGAUCCAGCUGUGCUGCACUGUAUUCUGAUCAUGGUAUGUUGAACCGGCCGUACCGGCUAGUUCAGCACGUACCAGACCGGUUCAAUAUGGUGGUGGAAAACGGUUCUAACCCAUAAGGGCCGGAACCGAGCGGUAUGCCUUCAAUGACCACAACGCGCGCGAACCAGUGGUACCGAUUCGGGCCGUACCAGUACACCUACCGAUACUGGUUCGCAGACAUUGAUCUUGAUACAUAUAAUACUGGUAAGUGAGAGGUGCACAUCCAUACCUUAAUUUUUAAAUCCUUGGUUUGUUAUCUAUGCUUUUCAACCUUUCACAUAAAUUAAAAUACUUUCUCUCAGUCCCUGUAACACCUUAUUACUUAGAAUGUCUUCUUAACUGGAUAAAUAUGAUUCACCCUCGUUAACAUUGCCAGCUGAAACUAAAUUUUCUUGCUAAUGAUGGACUAAACCACUGAUGUUGGUCAUAAGUCCAGAUGAAAGAGGCGGUGGUUGACAGUAGAUUGAUAGCCACUCGUUAAAAAGCACACUAAACUACGAAGAUUCAACUUAAGCCAGACCCAAAUAGUUGGAACAAGGCUUGAUGUUUAUGGUUACGUUUAAGAUGGACUUCUCUGGAAAUCCUGGUUUCACAGAUGCCUAGUCUGCUAAAUAUAUAACUCUUUCUAACAUUUUUGAGGAGUGUAAAUAUACAACUCUUUCAAACUUCACAUGUUUUAGCAGUUAGCACAUUUUUAUUCUCUUAUUAACCACAGUGGUGUUUGACUCAGUUGUCCAUGUAAGCAAUUAAAGAGAUCUCCAUCACUAGAAAUAUCUAUACAACUCUAACCACAGUCUGUGUUGAACUCUAAUCUCCUAUGCUCAUCCAAGGCAUUCAUCACCAACAUUCAAUUUUCAUGAUUAAAAAAUAUUGUACGAAGAGACUUCACUGUCGACAAUUCUUUAACCUAGAAUAAGUCAAGCAACAUUAGAAGGUGAGAGUGCAGGGCAACUAAUCCAAAUAGCAGCAAACUCAAUUGUGACAUUUUAAAAUAUCACAAGGUAUGUUGCACCUAAAAGGAACUAGAUGACCGCACAAACAUGUUAUACCGAGGAAUUGUAGAAGAAGAUUUGGCUUACAUGCAUCACUGGCCAAUGGCCAUGGCCAAAUCUGCAAAGAACUCUACAGCUAUAUGUAUAUGAUCAUGAGGGUUUAAAACAGCUGUUAUACCAAUAGUCACAUUAAAAGCCAAAACAUAACGAUGGAAAAAUACAUGCAGCCACAACAUGACCAUACUCAAACCAACAAAUUUGUGCAGCAGAUGUUCGGAAUUACAUAAAGAACUUAUUUAGCAUCUCUUAUCAGCAUCUUUAACAGAAGUGUGUCAACAGAAGAAGAACACUUCUAAUCAAUGGAAAAGAAAGGAUUAGCAUGCCCAGAAGCUGUCCAUGUGGAAAAUACAAUUGAUGUUUGAGCAAAGCAAGAUAAUAGUGAUAUCUACAUCUUUGAAAAUAAACAAGAGCUCAACAUAAACCAAUAUCAAGUAACAUAUCAAAUAAUUCACAAUCCAAGAACACCAGUAAAAUUAUGAAGCAAAAAAAUGAGAAGAUCGGACUAGUAAUACUUGGCAUGUGGUUCACUUGUAUAGCGCAUCAUUGCCGGUAUUAGUUUUCUUGGGUUAAGCUUGCUUGUAGCCAUCCAAGAUUCAACAGUCUCAUAAGCAUCAAGCAUUAUCAGAUCAGGAGCAAAUUUAUACUGCAAAAGACCAAAAGUUAUCCUUGCAGUAUUCAAAUAGUGCAGCAGUUGACUAAAAAUGAGACCAAGGUAUGCUAUAUCGGCCCAAACCGAGCGAUACAAAACGUACCAUACCGUACAUGUUCGGUACCUAUAUCCGGUACAGGUGGCGUACUGUACUAUACUAGUGUGACACCGGUACGGAAUCCGAUACCAAGACGGAAAACCUUGACUGAGACUAUAGCUUUUGUAGCUUGCCAAAACUUAAGAUAGUAUGUAAAAGAACGGUUUACAGCCUAGGUACCAGACCCCACAUGGUACUGUACCGAGUGUCAGUAUGGUCUUGGUGUUAAAACUCGGUAUUGGGGGCAACUGAGUCUCGGUACCCUAUAGGUACGUAAGGUAUGUGGCUUUGUGUCGUACCAGGUGGUACAGUCCCAUACCAAAAAAACAUUAAUAAAAGCAUAUAAUUUGAUUAAGUAUCUGGAUGCAGGUUGUCUAAGAAAAAAAAUUAAUGCUUCGUUUAUGAAUGGGAAAAUCAUUAAUACCUGAAGAUCUAUCGGGACAUUAGGUCUCUGAAGUACCUCCAAAGCUUUCUUUGUUUCUCCUUGCUAAAGCCACUCAAAAAAAAUGAACAUUAAUUUUUUACCAGAAAUAAAAGUCAUUCAUCAGUAAUCAUUCAUAUCAUAGUCCAAUUGUCAUAAUAACUCUAUCUAAAAUGACUUCUGCCUUAUAUCUGCCAUUUUGAAAUGAAGAGUAAACUUCCACUGAAAUGCAGACAUAGAAAAUUUUCUAGUAUAAAUUACUGAUACUUUUAGGAGUACAAACUAUACUGCCACUACAUUCAUGUGAAGAAAAAAUAAAUUAUAAUGAUUUUUUUUAACUUCUACGUGAAAUAAAAGUGAACUACAUUUAACUCCUAUUGGCAAGCAAGAAAUCGAAGAAUCACAUCAUGUGAGAUAAAAAAUAAAAAAAAACUUGAGAUGGAUGUAUAAUAUGAUUAGGUUUGAAUAACAAUAAUAUAAAUACGAAUGGCCCAAUUAAGCACAAAGUGAAGGAGAACCGGUUGUAUAGACAGAUGCAACAAAGAUCUUAAGAGGCUCUAGAAAGUCCUCAAAUUUGUGCAAAAGGUCAAAAAAUUAAAAAGACGAGAAGAGAUCCUAAGAUGUGAAAGUUGAGAAAAGAUUUAGAAAAGCUUUCAGUUGACAUUGGAUUGUUGAAUUUUUUUCUAAUAAUAGGUGACAAUAGAAUCCGAGGAACGUAUUAGCAAGCAAUCAAGAUCUUGGCACUAACUAAUAGAAUGUAAGCUCCCCUUAUUAAUCCCUAAUACAAUUCAUACAGCAGAUAUUGAUAAUUAACUCUUUUUCCCCUAAAAAGAUAUUUUUUUAUAUGGAAAAAACCAUACCUGAAUGUAAUGGUGAACCACAAUUUCAUAUUGCUCCUUUAGACCAGCAAAGUAGACUAGCUCAUCGACUCUACCAUAACUGCAAGAAUGUUGGAAGAGAUAAAAUAAAUUUUGUGCUUCAAUGUUAAAUUACCUAGUGUAACUUUAAAAAAUGCAUCACAGGCAAAGAUUGCUGAACAAUGAAAAUCAUCUAGGAGUCAUUAAAUUUAAAUUAUAUACAUCCCAAGUAAAUUGGCAUCCCAAAUGAAUUGUCACAUUAUGCUACUAACCAUCACAUACAUCUCUCCAAAUGCUAAUGAGAGGUGAAGCAACGUAACGCAAGGGUUGAAACUGUACUGUGGUAUGAUAUCCCUCGUACUGAGGCAUACCGAAACCGUACCACACUGUACCACAUACAGAGACAUAUGGAUAAACCAUGAGCAGAUACAGGGGGAUACUACUUUAUGUACAAUACCGAUACGUGAAUAGAAUGCCCUCUACCAUUGCAUUUCAAACCAUGACAUAGAGUAAAACAAAUGAAAUUAAAGAAAAUCCAUUACAAGCAAUGCAUAAACAAAGCCACCUAGACAAAUUGAGAAAGUAGAUUUUAAGGUUAAAGGAGUCACACUAGUUUGAAGAUAACAUACAAUAAAUUGCAUCCUUACAGUAGAAUCACGGUAUAAGAGAAGCGCUUGUCUAGAUUAAUCAAAAAGAAAAAAAUCCAUAUAUUCCUUGAGUCAACUUCCAGAAAUACAUUUAAAGUUGUUGACCCAGGUGUGAUUUAAAACUAAAAUCUAAACCAUAUCAUAUGCUUUAGUUUUCAGAUGUAUUUACCAUUUGAAAAUUAAUUUUUGAUGAAAAUGAAUCAUAUAUGUUCUAGCAUCUUUUCUUUCUAUGAAACAAGGAUAGAUGCAAAGUUAGCCAAACCGGUAGUAGGACCCAUGCUGGUUGGCUACCGGUUCAAUACGGGGUGAACCGGGUUGUUCAUCCCGGUUCAACAGGACCAUUUUCAAGCCUUUUUUUUUUGGGGGGGGGGGGGUUGAACCAAUUCAAAUUGGCGUGAAUCGAGCAGUUUGCACCGGUUAGUUCGGCCCGAUUUGGCAGACCAUAAACAGAUGAAUGUCGAAAAAUACCAACCCCCACAUGCUAUAUUUUGGAAAAUUCAUGGCAAAAUCACUAACAAUAACUAUAAAUUCUAAGAUAUCAAAGCAAUCCAUGCAUAAGAAUUGUUGUCAAUAUCAGAGUUGUGAGCCAUAAAAGAGUCAAGUUGGUCCCAAGCUGUAAGUCAGAUUACAAACCCUAAUUCUUUUCAAUUUCUUUAAAAAUAGGAUAAAAUAAAAAUAAAAAUUAAAUAAAAUUAAAAUGAAUUUAGAGUAUAAAUCAAAUAGAACAUACAAAGUAUUGUUUCCAACACCAUUAACCCCUAGCAUAUCCAAUAUAGCAAACACCAUGUUUACCUAUUCAAUCUAGUCAUAUAUCAAAAUACAAGUUUAUAAGAUAUCCUACUCAGAUGAAAAAUGAGAAAAAAUAUGAUGUAGGGUAACAACCGUAUAGCAAAGAACAAUAUAAGCAUUAUAUCAUCAUCAUCAUUAUAGGAAUGGAUCUAAAAGGUUCCUUUUUCCUUCCAUUUUCUUAAUGGGGAUUAAAAAAAUUCAUGCCCAUUCACUAAUUAACUUUUUAUUUUUAUACACAUUCUUAUGGUCUGUUUUUUUCCUCUCUCUAGGUUUUCUGUCUAAUGACAACCAAAUUGCUUUCCUUUCUCUUAGAAGUUGAAAAGCAUAAGUGCACAUUUCUUUUAUCAGAUUUUUUUACUGAUAAAAAAAGUCAUUUCAAGAGUUUGAAAUUUGUUUUUUUUAAAAAAAAGAUUGCUCGGAGAUGGAGUAAUAGUUGGUCUCAUAACUGAUAAAAGAAAUCAUUUUAAGAGUUGAAUUUUUUUUUACCACUUCGUUUCAUAUGUGAGAAAUAAUUAGAUCCAACUAACCACAAAAUUUGUGAAUUGUAUUAUACAAUCCAGUGUGAUCAGAAAAUAGGGAUUUAACCAAGGUACGCCAUCUCAGUAUCAGGCCCCGUACUGGUGCCAGUGUCGCUGCGUCGGUAUGCUUAGUAUGGAGGCCGGUUCGGCGUACCAAAUAUUGGUACGCCCCCGUACCAUAUACCAAUACUGAACUAGUACGGUACACUCCGUACCAUCUGGUUCGAUAUGAUAUGGCAUACCAUGGAUUUAACUAUAUUAUUUGGGGAUAUUUUGAUUCAAGUCAUGGAUCAUUUGCCCCUACCAACUGUGAUGAUAAAUUCCCUAACUUCCAAGGAAGCAUUAUUUCAGUACAAUGAAAUAAAAGUCAUACCACAAGGCAGUAACAUCGAUGUUUAGCCUGUUCAGAAAGUCAAAUCUGCACUUUUAGUGGUGAAAAGAAGUCAGCAGAGCAGUGCAUACGACAAUGCAAGGACUAGAACUGGGAGAAUGAUAUGUUUUGAGGAUAUAAAGCAACAUAGGGUAGUCCAAGCCACUAACAAACCCUUAACUGGUAUAUUCCAACUCUCAAGCUGCCCGACUUGAUAAAAACUAUUUUUCUCGUGUUAAGUUGUUGGAUGUCUCCCACCAGUUAGUACACGUUUCAAAUUCACCUUCCAAAGAAUAUCUCAAGAAUGGUACAUGGUUAGGAAAUCAAAUUUCAAAUAACUUGGAACAUUUUUUAUAUUAGCUAGUGUACAUAUUUAAUGACAAAUGGCAAACCUAAAUAGGUAAAUAUGGACUAUGGGAAGUGACAGCUUUCUUCAGACACUCGUCACUAAAAUAGGAUUGUUACAUUACAAGGAUGCAUCAUUAAUGUACUCCACGUCUAUGAUCCUAUGCUACCUAAUUUGAGCAUGCUCAUGGUCAUAUUCUAUCUACUUUGAGUGUGGUAUUGUAACCUCGAAUCAUCUCAAUGAUCCUUAUGAUGAUCCCUGAUAAAACACACUAAUAUUUUACAGACAAAUCCUUGAGUUUCCAAAUAAGAAACCCAAGCUACAAACUAGAAAGAGCUUUAAGCAUCUGCUAUGGCAUCUCAGUAACUGCACAUCUAAAGAUGUCAUUAAAAGAAAAGGAACUACCAAUACAAUGACCAAGCAGUAAGUUGUGGAAUUAGUAUAUAGAUAUGCCACAGUAACCACCACCAAAACCUGAUAAAAUCUGGUUCCAGAGUAAUCAAGAUACUGGCUUACCUCUCUAACAAUCUCAUUGUGGUUGCCUCAUCCAAUACAUCCUUCCAGUCACUAAGAAAAGCUCGGAAUUCCUUCACAAUAGACUGGUAUUCUGACCUAUUGGCUUCGGAUACUACAUUAGCAACCAUGCCCGUGUCAUCUUCCAAUAACAGACGAUUGAUCUGCAAAAACAGAACAAUAAAAAUAUUCGCAAAUACAACCCUAGUAUCAUUACUCAAUAUACAUUAUCAUUGAAGCAUAUAUUUUUCCCAUCACAUCGACAUCAUACAGACUAUAAAAAUCGUCUUGACUCACAACAUUUGGCCUCACAUAUAAUUGUUAAGAAAUCAAAAAAGAACAAAAGAAAGAAGAAAGUCAGAGAAUCUUCUCCUAUAUCGUUAGGCAAGUGAAAGCGAAUUUCAUAUAAUGAAAAUAAGAAAAUAAAGAGUCAUAUGUUUCUAUAAGUAGUCCCUAAUUCUUCCUUCACUUUAGGAGUUAUUUCAAGAUAAAAAUAACAAAAUGCAAGCCAACAAUUCACUCAUGUUUCGACCAUUUUCUGUAGAACUUCAUUGCAAUUAUCUUAGUUCAGCCAAAAACAAGAGAAAACACUCAAUUUUCUUUUAUUUCCUCUCCUUUUCUUCUCUUAAGUUUUCAUUAUUUUGUUUCAUUAUCUUGAGAACCAAAAAGAGCCCCAAUGAUUAGAGGUUUUCAGUUCUCUGGAUGACAUAAAUUCCAAGUGGUGCCAAGCCUGGUGGUUUACAUUUGCAACCUACUUUUAUAGAAGUCUUCAACCUGAUUGAACAAAUUAAGCAACAAGUCAGUUCAUAAGUUUUCAUUUCUUAAAAUGGUCUUCCGAAAGCCAACAUAAUACAAAAGAACAUAAGAAAAAUGGAGGAUUUGGAUAUGAACAAGUUAUUACAACUAAUUAAACCAGAUGAAACUAGCCUAAACAUCAGAUCAUCAAGCAGUAUGCUUGUUUCAACCAGUAUGAAAGUUCCGUCAGAAAAACAUAUUUCUUCCUCAUUAAACUCGGAUCUUUGCAACAGCCCUAUGAUAACUAAGUAAUAAUUCUUUGAAUUCCUUGUAUAUGAAAGUAGUAGUAUAGUUUACUAAAAAUUAUAUCAAGGAAAAUAGUAGCCAAAUACAGAUAAAUUUAUUAAUGAAAUUAAAUUUGUUACAAUGUUGUCAAGUGUUGAACAGUGAAUUGACAGCACACUGUUUCUUGCAUGGCCGAACCGGCCCGAAUCAGGCUGGUUUGGGCCAUAUUGAACCAAACCGGUGUGGAACCGGGUCGAUUUGGUUGUGAAGACCGGUUUGAAGCAGGAGGAGGAGGAGGAGGAGGAGGAGGAGGAGGAGAAGGCAAAGGAGAAGAAGAAGAAAAAGGAGGAGGAGAGAAAGCAGGAGAAGGAGAAGGAAGCAGCAGAAGAAGAAGUAGAAGGAGAAGAAGAAGAAGAAGAAGGAGAAGGAGAAGAAGAAGAGAAGAGAACUAGAACAAGGAGAAAGAAGGAGAAGAAGGAGAAGGAGAAGGAGAAGGAGAACUAGAACAAGGAGAAAGAAGGAGAAGAAGGAGAAGGAGAAGAAGAAGAAGAAGGAAGAGGAGAAGGAGAAGGAGAAGACAGUAGAUUUAUAUUUUUGUUCGAAUUACCAUCUCUUCUUAUUUUCAUUAUGGUGGAUUGCAAUAGAUUUACAUUUUUGGUCGAAUUACCAUCUUUCCAUAUUUUCUUUAUUGUGGAUUGCAAAACAUCCUUUGUCUCACCUUCAACACUGAUUUUUGUUCGAAUUACCAAAAGACAGUAGAUUUACAUUUUUCAAGAUGGUAUAACCAUGACAAAAAUCAUCAUUGCAUGGAUGCCCACAAGAUGAAGCCCAGAAAAAGAGGCAGCAAACCCAAAAAAUAAAUGAAAAGAAGAAAGAACACUUACUGGGAAAACAGGAAAAAAGAAAAAUAUAACCAAAGAAUAAUGAUCCAUAAGUUGCAAAACAUUGAUAAAAAAAAAAACCAACCUGCACUCAAACUUCAAUAACUAUUAAAAAAAACACUUCAUGAACUCAACUAAGCUGUCCAGAACCUACAAUAGCUUGUAUAUGGUACUAAUCAAGAUUCCACUCAUGAAACAAUGGUUCACCAAUAGACAAAUUAACGUACUUACAGCAUAGCCUAAGAGUCAAGUCAUACUUGUAAACACAUUCAACAAGAAAUAGGCAUGGCUAAGAAGUUCCAAUGGAAUGCAAUGAGAAUAGGAAGAUCAAGAGACAACAAACUCUAUGGAAUAGUCAAUAGGUAACACAAUGUGACUAAACUGUCCAGCAUCCAGGCAAAAUAGACUGUCUGUAUGGAAAAUUUGAUACCUAACAAAAUAAAACUAUUGAUACUCAUGCCUUCCUAUUGAAAAGAGGAAGGCAUGUCUAUCUAAUAGCAUGAAAACAUUACCUUCAAGAAUGACACAAGUAUUGGUUAAAAAAUUUCACAAAUAAUAACUAUAUAAUAAGAAUUGCAACUCAUAAUAAGUAUUGGUCAAACUCAUGAUCUUUAUAAUAAAGGAAGUCAAACACAUGAUAUUUAUGAUGGAGAUGUGAUAGUCAAUGACCAAGCAGUGGAUUGUAGUCAUAUACAAACUCUGCUCUUAAUAUGUGGUGACCAAGCUCAACAACUCUCCAUUUAUUUGAUUUCUCCGGCACAAAGAAUUUCUAGAUACCCUCAGAAAGGAAAUGCUAGCAAGAUGUAAAGCAUGGGCAGGGGUUUCAUUUCUUGCAAUAUAGGUUUGUGUACUGGUACCGUGCACCAUUCCGGUAACUUACCAGUAUGUUGUGGAUCAGCACGGUACACCCCUGCACCUACACAUAAUAUGAUGCUGGAGGUGAGACAGCAGCUGUACCAUAUCUCGGUAUAAUGCCAAACAAAGCUGCCGUACCAUACUGAUACCUUAUUGGCACGGAAAAGCUUGGUAUUGGCCAGCAUGGUUUGAUAUAGCAAACCUUGGUCAAGCAUGAAUAGAUAUUUUUCAAAAUCUUAGGAUGAGAACUAUGUCAUGCAGCAGGGCAGAUUAUGAUCUAGCAACUUGUAUAUUCUGCAUUGUGCAACAAACAUGAUGCCAUGCAAGAUAAUCAAGAAUAUGUUGUUGUUUUUUUUUUUGGUCUAAAGAUCAAGAACAUGUUGUUGAAAAGUGCAACCUUGUCCAAGUAUAGCUCAGUAGCCCAUGUGGAGAUCAUUGUAAUUUGGCACUUAUCUUCCUUUUUAGUACUAUAAAGACUAUCAAGUUUCCGUGUUAAGAAAGUCCUCAGAGCGUCCUGCAUAAAAGAGGAGCAUAUGAGAUAAGACAAUCUAGAUUACAUUUUGAGAAAAAAAGUAUUGCAAACAUGUGAAGCUUGUAUUCUCACAAAAUAGUGUAGAACUUCAAAUCUUUCAUGUAUUCGAUAGCAUAAUGGCACAUUUAGCAAGCCAAGCACUGAAGACUAGAUAAUGGAGUCCCAGGAAAGCUGAGAUAAAUUCACAGAACAAAGUAAUUGAUGCUUGAAUAGACAACUGUAUUAAUAAAUUGUAAGGGUGUGAAUAGCAGUAAAAAGUCUGAAAUAGUAUUCCAUCAGCUGGUAGGGACCUGUAUUAAUAAGAGCUUCACUAUAGUACCCAUCAAAUGCACUCACUGCACCAAACCCAUGCAGUCAACGACUGUACAAAUUUGACCAUUGGAACUAUAACAUCAACAAUAUUCCUGGCCAUAAUUCCAUUGGGUCGGCGAAGAUGACCAACAGCAAGCUUGAAAAUUGUAUUGAAAUUUCAUUCAAGACAUGACAGUUCACACUAACAAUCAAGGUAUGUCGAACCGGUACCGGUUGGCGUAUCGAUGGCCUACUAAACCGAUUCGGCUUGUUCGCCGGGCCCAUACCGAAACAGACCCAACUGGAGACGGAGAAGAUGAAGGCCUAGAGAGAGCGAGCGGAGGAGGGAGGGAGGAGAGGCCUCCGCUGCCUGCGGAGGGCGGCGGGAGGGCAGAAGAGCCCGCGGCUGCGGAAAAAAAUUUGAAUUUUUUUAAGUGUAGUCGGCAAAUCGAUUUGGAAAUUUUUAAUUUGAAAAUUUUUAAGUAAAGUCGGCAAGCGGUUGCCGACUUCACUUNNNNNNNNNNNNNNNNNNNNNNNNNNNNNNNNNNNNNNNNNNNNACCCCCACCCCCCGGGGGCCCUCCGCCGGCACCCCGCGGGCGGCAGAGGCCUCUCCUUCUCCCUCCCUCCCCCGCCCGCUCUCUCCUUCUCUUCUUCCUCGGCUCCGGCUGGGUUUGGCCAAUACGGGCCCUAUACCAUUUUUCAUGGCUGAACCGUACCGGUCAGGUACAUGCUGAACCGGCCGGUUCAGCAUACCAUACUAACAAUAUACAUACGAAUCCUACCCAAUAUGGCCUAAGGUGCCAGUUGGCAUGCAUGAUAUGAACCGUAUCCAUAGUUCCAGUGCCUUAGCAGCACAUGACAUAGCACUAGCUAUAUGCUAGUGCUUGUCAUGCAACCAUGUUAGUGCAUUCUAGACGCUUGCAUAGCAUGGCAUGGCAAACCACGGACAUACAACACCUCAAUGCACUAUACAUAUGUAUUUAUAGAUGUAUGCAUAUGCAUCUAUGUGAAUAUAUGCAUGUGUUUUAGGUGUGUAUAUAAUAUGUAGACAUGAGUUUUUCUAUCGAUAUGCAUAGAUAUGUCUAUAUACACAAACAUAUACCUACAUUUAUAUGCAUAUACACAUUCAAGAGAGAGAGAGAGAGGAGCUACUAUCCUUUUGGUCAAUUAAUAUAAAAGUUCAAUAAAUGCCACUUAGAUUGGAUGGUCUAUACAUUUGAAAUUUUUUCACAAAAGAAAUGUUCUAGGGUUGGAAACCAAGUGAUAAAGUAAUUAACUGAUUGACUAGAAAGUCUAGUAAACAGUAAUUAAUAAUUCUUGUGUAUUAUUAUUAUUAAUUUCUCCUAAAAAUAAUACCCAUGUAUCAAUGAGGUCUACUUCCAUUUUCAUCAAGCAAAUAGUCAUUAGAUGCUUAGUGACAUAUCCAUAUACUCUCAUCAAGAUGCUCUGAGUUAUAGCAAAGACAUUGACAUGUAAUUUUCAGCACAGUAAAUAGAAAGAAAAGAGAUGAAAUUCAAGAUAUCAAAUAAGAAAAAAUAGACAAGGAACUCAACUUCCUCCUCGGUCCUCAUCAUCCUUCAAUAUAUAAGCCAGUUUUUUUGGAUUCAACUAGAGAAAGAAUAAGAUUUGACUCGUUGUAGGAAAUGAAGAAUUCCUAAUAUUAUAAAUCUCAUAUAGACAGAGGGCCAACCAGAAUAGGCGCUUGAAAGUCUUUGAUAUUUGGAUGGAGUUCUAAACUUUGGGAGGGGUCUGGCUUUGCCUCGUUUGAAUUGUAUUUGUCGAUUCUGAAAGUAUAUGAAAAGAGCUCUAAAUCUUAAAGCUCUUGGGAUAUAUAGCCAUGUAGAGAAAGAGGCUAGUGGGACGUGGCGUUGGUGGGCAUGGAAGCAAACUCCAAUUUGUGGAUAAGCUAGAUAAAUCUUUUCUCGACUUUGCAUAAGAAUUUUAGAAGGGCAAGAACUCCAAAUGAAUGGUAUACAUAGGUAGUUGACACAAGGUUGGCUACCAGCCAAUAGAGGGACAAGAGCAUUAGACAUGAGGCCAUGGUGAUCAACCAAAAGGAGUGAUAGGGCAGCUGUGAAGCAUCACAUUUAUGAACCCUGGUCUUGGCAUCCAAGCGCUAGAGGAUUUCUCAAUGCGGGGGGGGGGGGGGGGGGGGGGGGACCCGACCCUGAGGGGCCCUUACCACUAUGUAGCUCCACCCCGACCAGUACUUCAACCCCUGAUUUGGUUCUAUGGCAACCCGAAAUCAAGAUGUGGAAGAAAUCAUGUAGAAAAGAAAGCAACGGGGGAAAGCAUCAGCACAAUACAUCCACAAGCACCAAGCAGAUUAAAAAUCCACAUGGAAAGAAGAACAUAAAAUGGUUGAUGGCAAGGUCUGAAAAACAAGAGUUGAGAACCAUACCGGUACACUAUUACUGGUUUGGUAUGGUACCAUUGGUGCAAUACAGUACACAUCCCUUACUGAGACAAGCUUCUAACACUUUUUCUCACUUCUGGACAUAGUAAUGUCCAAAACUAGGCAGUACGGAUCUGUACGAGGUGGUGCGGGGCGGUUCUGCUUGGUUCGGACCUGCACGAACCAAUUCACCUCAUAUACUAAACCAAAUCUCAAUAUAGAAUUGGUAUCUUACCAAUACGGUCCAUUACAGAUAGUAUGGGGUAGUAAGGUUUGAUGGCAAGAUCAUCUCCCCUCUAAUGAACUAAAUACAAUAAUCAAAAGUGAAAAACUCUAAAUGCAACAAAACCCAUGAUGUUUUGACUAGAGCCUUUCAAAUGCCAAUAGUAGCGCUUCUUAAAAACCAUUAUUUCACCACCAAAAAGUCCUUGUUGACAAAGAAUAGAAGUACAAAACCAAACUAGUCUCUCAACAAGAAACAAAUAUUGAACUUGUUUCCAUGACACAUUUUCUCUACAAAGCCCUCUUCUAGGAUAUGAGCUUGCCGGGAAUUCCCAUAACGUUCUUACCUAUCUCAGAAUUGAUGAAACCAUGGUUCAAGGCCAAAUGGUGUUACUAAUGGACUAACCCAUCUUCCAAGCACAAAUAACCAAAGGUGUUAGAUUUUUCUAACAUCUCUUUUCAGAUAAUUUGAAGGACCAUGAAGCAACAUACACAGGCCAUGAGGUAAAGAUUAAAAGCAAAGAAAAGAAAACAGUUUUGCACCAUAUGAUUGGAUGAUUAUGUUGAUCUAACUUCGCCAUUGGCUCCUAUCUAGGCCAAGUCGUUUGAAAAGUUUGCUCGAAGCAUCCCUCACUACCUAAACCAGACUUUCAGUCUCCAAUCUUUUCAACAAAUAAGUAUUCCAUAUACAGCCCAGAAUUUGGGGAGAGGUGUUGAAUAUGCAUGUACAUGCUUCCUUAGUUGAUAGGAACCUUAGCAUGAGAGCUUAUAGGUCCUAAGAUCAUAUUGAGGAAAAAUAGAUGAAGUUAUGCCCAUCAAAAAAUGCACGAAAUAUCAUAUCAAACUAUUCGACAAACCCGCAUGACAAAUUAAAAGAAAAAAAAAUCUAGGAACCAGAAUUGUACAUCUGAAUCCUAUAAAUUCUCUAGUCAUUUCUUGAUAUUGUAAAUGCAAAUAUUUUAUUGCUGCAUUUGCAAAUAUUUGUAAAUAUCUCUGAGACAAAUGUAUAUAUAUAUUACCUGCUCACCUAUAGCAAUAAACUUUAAGCUGAUCUCCUCAAAUGACACCAUAUAGUUUAUCUGUGAAAAAGAAAAUGACCUGUAAGUCAUCAUAUUUUUAUACUGAAAAACUGAGAUAAGUCAUUCAACCCCCGUCCCACAGAAUUGACUCCUCGUACAAGAAUCCUAUUUUAACUCCUCACAUAUCUCUCGUGAUGAUUUAUUCUUUUGUCUGAUUUUUGGUUAAAGGUGAUGAAAAUUACUACAGACCCUCAAUAGAAUCCUUGAAGCCCUAAGUGAGAAGCAAAAAAAAAAGUAUAAUGAAGAAAUAUAUAAAAGAGAAGUUGUACAAUCAUAACAUAACAGCCAGUUGAUAAGGUCACAAUGAUCAGAGGCAAAGACCAAGAUCUAGAACUCAAUAAUGUAAAAGAAUUCAGUUUUAUAUGAAUCUUUAUAUCAUCAAACAAAGCUACAGACAAAAACUAAAAUAUGCAAAAGAAGUCAAUAAUAUGUAAUCUAACAUAUCCUUAACCCUCUCGCAAUGGGGCCAUCCCCAUAACCCCUCAACAAAUUUCGUCAAUUUAAUCACAAAGUCACCAAAAAAAACUUGCAUAUAUGUGAUCAAUCGGCAACAGCAAGGGGAUAUAAUAAUUUUGCAAACUGGAAUACAAAGAAAAGAAUGAAUUGAGAAUUCAAAGUGGCGGAUGGAGUGAUAGUCAAUCUCCAAGACCAUAGUCCUCUCAUUAAAACAACUUUCUCAAAGCCUGAUAACUUCAAAUAACAGUGUUACAUAUUCACCAUAGCUUUUUUUUUUGGAAUGAAAUGGAGAGAAAUCCAUCUGAUUUUUUUUUUAAAAAAAAAAGUGGAAGGUUUUAUUCUUAAAUCAGCAAAAAUGUAAUUCACAGAAAGCAAUACUCUGUAUAUGAAAUAUUGCAAGUAUUCUUAAAACAACGGUUGCAUGUUUUUUAAUCCAAGAUAAUGGUUAAAUUUUUUAGUUGUACAUUAAAUAUGUAGAUAUCCAAAAGAAGUAAGCUAGCAUCAAAUAAAAUUAUAAUAUCUACUGGUUGUCCUAAACCAAAACUGAAAAUUGCUAAACCAUGGUUAUUAAAAGUUAACAGAGUUGCAAUAUAAUUCUCUCUCCUGGAUUUUGUGUUGGAUUGAGAGCACCUAGGACAUGGCAUAUAUGCAAGACAUGAUAAUUCAAUAGGUGCAAAUAGACCUCAGAUAAGUUACCAAAAGUUUAGACAUUGAUCUCAAAAGUCUGAAGACUCUGAACAAAGUCACUGUAAGUAAAAAUUACAAUUGAUGCAGUGGACCCUUGGAUUUGAACGAAGAUCGGCCAAUUGAGCCCCAUCCAACCAUCAAUGAUGGACUUUAUCGCUCGCCAUACCUUGGGGAGGUGAGGGGGGCAGGCAUGUUUGGGUGUUAUGGAGGUGAUUGAUUAUCCACUCGCCCCUUAGAUAAUGCAGGUUGGUUGCUCAUUGGCUAAUUCCAUCUCAGGGGAAAAAUAUACGAGAUCUGAUGCUUUGUCCCAUCCUUCGACAAAAAUGGUGAGUGGAAGGGAUCUUUAUUUCGUACGAAAGGUGGUUAAUCCGAUGAGUCAAUGCUCAAUGCGAUGCUGCUAACCGCUUGACGAUCCUACUUCUAAUGUCACCCUUGCCUCUCCCUCCCAGUGGAAUGUCCCAACUACACUGAGCUAAUCAAUAAAAGCAUGGCCACCAUAAGCCGUGCCCGGAUAGGUAACACAAGACAGUUAUUCCACUGAAUAGGUAGCAGGCAAAGGCAACUAGAACAUGUAGCAUAAAAUCGUAUUGACGGAAUGUAGAGUAGGACUAUCCAUAGAGCCAAAUAAAGUGGAGGGUACCUCGACCUGGGCUAGAUAAGUUGUGUCCAAGUAUAGCUCAGUAGCCCAUGUGGAGAUCAUUGUAAUUUGGCACUUAUCUUCCUUUUUAGUACUAUAAAGACUAUCAAGUUUCCGUGUUAAGAAAGUCCUCAGAGCGUCCUGCUCACCUAUAGCAAUAAACUUUAAGCUGAUCUCCUCAAAUGACACCAUAUAGUUUAUAUGAUCUAACGAAGCCCCUUGGGCUGCAAGAGUCAAGGUAGGGAGGGUGACUAUUGCUUUUCUUGCUUCUGAACCAUUGUCAGCGAGAUCUCUUUCUCGGUCGGAGGCAGUUGUUUGCCGGAUAUUACAAGGGGAAAGGAUACCGGAGUUCUGAUACUCUAAAGAUGUUUUACAUUAUGAUGAAAUAUGGGAUCCCCCAGCUUGACAAAGAAAACAAAAGGGAAAAGGCAAAAGAAUCAUGUUAAGCUUUAAAUGGUUGAAAGGACCCUAAUGUGUAUAUAAGCCAUUAAAAAAAGGGAAACAAAAGCAGAAAAGGACUUCCUAGAUAACAGCAGUUAAAGGUAAGAAGUUUUACCCUAAGUUAGAACCAAGAGCACAAGCAUUUUAAGACAGGAAGUAGAUGAAACUAAUUAUAUAAAUGCCUAGCUAAGUUGGAGUCAAACACAUUUGUUGAAAUAACAACUUCCAUAGCCUUAAUAUUUGUUCCAUACAUCAACCAAGCGCUACCAUCUGAUUCUAUCUAAAGAAUCUCCUUGAUUAUUUAAUACCAUUUAAUUCUUAGACAUCAGAUCCAUACAGUAAAGCUGAUGAACAAUGCUUUAGAUGACUUUAUCAAAUCUCAAAAGCGCGGAAUGAUAAACUCAUGGCUUUUAUAUUCUUUUAUCAACUCUGUGGCAUGCAGCAACCAUGCAACAGAAUAGAUAGUAGUGAUCAGCACCAGCAUGCUUGAUCUGUACUAGAAAUAUCAUCAUCCACCACCCUUUGAUUAUGUAGAAAAGGUACAGAAAAGAAAAAUUGAAACACUUAAAUCCAAAAAUCACUCAGAUUGAAUACAAAUAAUUAGGAGGCAAAUCAAGUCACUGAUUAAUAUAUCACAAAAAUAUGAAAAAAUGAUAUUAGAAAAUGAGGACUGACUCGUCCAUUGCAUGAAUCAGAGAUCUCACCUUUGCAUACAAGGAUGCUGCUCUCUCAAAAUCUUUUGCAGAAAAAGCAGCUUCAGCCUGCAUUGAGACUCAUCUAGUUACUUGCUACUGAAACACAUUAUAAAUCCAUAAAAAAGAGCAAAGUAAAUUUGGAAAUGUGAAAUAGGCUGAUUAUUGGAAAAAGAUAAAGAGUUGAGGUCAGUGUAAAAAAAAACUAAAAAAAAAUGAAACAGUUGCAAAACUAUUAGUUACCUGUACUAAAUAUACUUUGUCUUUCUGGAAUGGCUUAUCCUCAUCACAAUGAGCUAAAGCAGCUGCAUAUUCUUUCAUGUCUAGGUACACUUGCCACAUGUCCCGGCCCUCAUCAUUCACUGACACCUGAGAUAUGGUUGAUACCAGCAACAUGGUUAUUUUAGAGAGAACACAAGACCCAAAGAAAGAAUCAAGAUGGAAACUUACCUGGAAUAUCGAAUUUUCGUCAUAUGCAUAAAACAAUCCAGCAGUGGCAUCACUGCACAAACCAAUGAUUCCUUUUGAAGAUUCUGGUGCAUGAUCAAACUCAAGUUCCUCCACAAUUUGUUGACUGAUUCUGUUGACUACCUGUAAAAUAGGAGCUACAAAGCUUUUCUGAGGUUUUCUAAACUCGUUCUUUGAAUGAAAAAUAAUGUAAAUGCAUUUGAGGUAAAACCGCAGAUGAAGUUCACUGUGCGUAAAGAGGCUUACAUUCAAGGAGUAUCUGCACAUAAGGGGAACUUAUGUAGACAUAGGUCACCAUAUAGUUUGGCAUCACAACAAGUGGGCAAUUUCUUACACAAAUUACCUUAAAUUUUCCUAUAAUAUUGUUCCAAAACAAUUUUACUUGAAGCUCACCAAUUUAUUCUAAUGUUCUUAGAGAACUGAUAGCAGAGUCAGGACUGGUCUUUCUCCAACCCAGUACAGUUUUGCCAUGACAGACCAAGAUAGACUAGGUCCUUAAUCCUUGCCUCGGAUUAAAUUAAUUUUCAUAAUAUUAAGCAAGAACCAAUCAUUUGGAAGCAAGCUGAGAAAUUGUUAUUUAAUGAGACUAAUUGAUAAUUACGAUAACACUGCCAUGGUCGAUUCCAAGCCCAGAGAAAAAGAUGGAUGGUCAAUGUUAGGUUGAUAGCCAAAUAGAGAAACUUGUCAAACUAUGAAAAAUGGAUCCAAAUUUGAUAUGCAUGAAUGUUAUUGCGUCCCCCGGUUUUAUGCAACAUGCCACAACUUAAUCUGAUUGUGGUAAGAGUGGGAAAGGGAUGGCUAGGUCAUUGCCUGCAAGCGGUGUGCCGCAAUGUAACCCAGUUGUAGUGACAAAUAAGCAAGGAUUAGCUAGGUCAUCGCUCAUAAGCAAAUGCCACAAUGUAACCUGAUUACAGUGACACAUAAGCAAGAGUUGCUUCGGUUCGAGGUGUUUUCUAGAAGUAAUGUGGCACAACGAGGUCUAACUGGAGUUGUAAGGAGACAAAAGAUAAAUCACAUCAAACAGAGGAAAAACAUGCAAAGAAAUUAAUCAUUAAAAAGGAGAAUUAGAUAUGCUACUUGGAAUAUAAUAACUUUGACUGGAAAUAGCAAGGAACAGGUGGAUAAGGUGCGUACAAGAAUCAAAAUUGCUCAUAUACAUGAAACCAAACAGAAAGGUGGUAAGCCUAAGGAUAUUACAACUUAUGAAGGUUAUAAACUUUAGAACUAGGAAGAGCAGAUCCUGGAAAAUAGAUGCCAUGGCAGUAUUCAAUAUGUAUCAGAUACAUAUAGACAUCCGUAUCCAAAAAUUACCUAUUAUAGAACUACUACAUAAAAGGACAUUGAGUUAUAAUACAGAGAAUUCAAGAUGCAAACCAUCAAACAUCCACAUUAUGCAUUUCCUCUUAUAGUGCUUAAAUAGAGUUUUUUGGAAUAGGAUUUCAAGAGGACUAAAAAUCCAUAACUUGGAGACGAUAGAAUUAUCUACACAAAAUUAUAAAAGAUGAGGAUGGAAACUAAUCUGAUAGAAUAUGUUUGUUGAACGCAAUAAAAAAAAGGUAGGACAUUUAUUGUAGAGGUAAAAGGAAAAUAGUGGAUUGACUUGGGAGAAAUAUACUACAUAAGGUGUGAGAUCGCUUAAAGAAAAUGCAGCUACUUCAAACUCUGAUUUGACAAGACUAUGUUAAAGGUUUCUGAUGGUAAACUCAAAUGAAGGAAGAAUCAAGAUCAAUCACCAAGACAAAGACGCUCAAUCUCUUCUGCAUGAGGACAGAUUGCCAAGUAUUCCACCUAUGAAGCCAAGAAUCUUGACAAUGAAUCAAACUCUCAAAUUAGUAAAAUGCCAGAAGCAGUUUGGAAGGUACCAUAGAAUAUCAAGACUGUGAACCAAUUAUUAGCAUUUCCAACUUCGUGCAUUUAAGAUAAUCUUAGGAAGGCUAACCACGUUUCUGACCGAUAAGCAAAUCAAGUGUCUUCCUUAAUAAGCUCCUUGAAAGUACUUGCCCACCUCAUAUGUCAUACAAUUUUCCUGCUGAGCUGAGGUACUGGAUAGGAGCCAAUAUACAUAUCAACUUUCUUCAGAGAGUAGAUAAAAAAAUUUCUGUUAAGCUACUAAAGAAAAAGUGGCUUCUGACAGGAAUAUGAAACAGGUCAUGGAGACUAUUAAUCAGUUAAUGAAUAAAAAGUUAUCAGCAAAUGCCUUGUAUCACAAAAAUGGCAAUUAGCAUGUGAAUCCUAUUGAAUGAUACAAGGAUCCAUAGUUCCAUACCUUAACCUCAUUACCGAUUAGAAGCAAAAAAUGGAAUUCAGAAACCGCAAAAGAUUUUGGCUUAAUAGCAUCACCACUUUCACCCAACUUUGAAUAGUCUAAGAGGCCCUUGUUUUCCACAAAGUUUUCAUCUCCACUGGUUGAACUACUCAACAAAAGAUCCAGUAAGAUUAUGUCAACAUCUUGGACUGUCAGCAAAUAUUAAAACAAUGUGAAUCCAAAGGAAAAUGGUAUACAAUGUAUGAUGCACAAAAUUGGCCUUUUCAUGCCAAAUGCAGAAUACAUGCCAUUGAAAAUAUUAAUACAAAUAACUAAUUUCAAUAUAUAAAGAACAAAAAACACAAAGAAUGAUUCACCUGUGUUGUGCUCCAAAAUUUAAGUCACCGUGAUAAAUUCCGGCCCCAGAAAGCCAAGCAAAGUGUUUGGCCCUUCUUUGCUUGAUAAAGAAAUGUAGUUCACUGCAAAUCAGCAAAGAAAAAACAAUGUCUUCUCCAGUUAGUUGAUAACAACUUCACUUAUGCGGAAAAGAAAAUUUGAUUCAGGUUUCUUUAAUAAUAUAUUAAGGUGAGAACAGGAAUAGCAAAAACAAUGUGUAGAAACAUAUAAAAUUAUCCCCACCAAAGUCAAGGUUUAUCCAAAGAGGAAAGGAUAGAUUUGACAUCCUGAUAAUAUCACAGCUAUGGUUUCAAAACACAUACUCUUUUCCUUUCUACAAAAGACCCACCAAAAGCAUGUGACUAAUGAAGGUUUAAUAUUUUAAUUUCAAAUCCCAAUUAAAUAGCCUACAGUCCGAAAAUUUUCAAAAGGUUUUGGCUGAGGCUAGGAAGUAUCAACGAAAAUCAUUCCUCCAUUAAGGUAGACCAUUCUGAUCAGUUCCUGCUAAACGCUUCAGUUUUAAAGACUGCAGAAACCAAUUUGGUUAUAUAUGUAUAUAAAGAAAAAAAAACACAUCAGAAAUAGGGUGUUGCAGUAUCCUAUUUCAUACUCACACAUAAAAGAGCUAUAAAGUUCCAACUAGAGUUAAGCCAUGCACCAAACCCUUCUAUCUACUUUCUUCUACAAAGGACAAUAACAGCGUUGGCAACAAAUAGAAGUAGUUCCUCUCAAAAAACAAAUAGAAGUUUGUCCCCUAAGUCCUAUCUCUCGAGUAACAAAUUUCAAAAAAUUUGUAAGGGAACUUGAAAAUGAGUCACAUCUCAACUAUUAUUUCAAUGUACAGCAUGGCAGGAGAACACUCUUCUCCAUCUAACCUCCAAAAAAAAUACACCUACCAGUUAUUAAACAGGCUACUCUCUUUAGGUUAUCACAGGCCGCUUCCACAAGAGCAAUCAAACAAAAACAAAUAUUUGAAGGUGCAUCAUGUAAUGCACAUUGAGGUGCCUAUAGCCUGCAAGCACGGUCCAGGCUCAAACUUAUAUGUUCAAAGGCACUACCAUGCCAAGUUUGAUGAAUGUAAGUGGGAGUAACCGUAUAUCGUAUACCGUAUACUGUGUACCAUGUACCAUGUACCGUAUACCCAAUACUUUGCAUUGUAUACCCUUUACUGUAUAUCGUAAAUCCUAUACCGUAAACCCUAUACCGCAUACUGCAUACCUCAUACCAUAUAGCUACGGUAUAUGGUAUAUGGUAUAAGGUAUACCAUAGCUAAAGGGUAUACGGUACACGGUAUAUGGUAUGCAGUAUACGGUAUAGGAUACACAGUACACGAUAAUAUGAAAUACGGUAUACGGUAUAGGGUUAUAUGGUAUACGGUCACUCCCACCUACUCACAUUCAUAAAAUUGGGCAUCGUAGUGCCUUUGAACAUAUAUAAGUUGGAGCCUAGACAGUGGUUGUAUGUCUUAACCAGUUGAUAUGGGCCAAAGGUGGGCUUCAGCUUGGCUAUCAGUAGAUGGUUUGGCCAUAGCUCAGCCUAGUUCAACACGGUUUAAAACUUUCCAAUCUUACCAUUUCCCAUUUGAUUACUAGAUUGUUAUUUUUUUAAAUGACAGCAUGAGUACUUCAUGUUGGAAAGAAAAAUGACCAAUAUUUCUCUUUUUUAUCCUAUAACCUAUGGUUAUUACGUAGAUACAAAAGAACUUGCACAAUAGAAUGCAUAUCUAUAUAUAUUUGAGUUUAGUUUAGCCUCGAGCUCAUGGAUUGUUGGUUUGAACUUGGCCUACAUGUAGGUCGAGUGAGAUUUUCAAGCACAAGCUCAUCCAAGAUCAAUGACAAUUUGGCCCAACACAAGUAAAAUGCAUAUUGGAGGAAGGGGGACAAACAGGCUGUAGGUAGCUCAAUGUGCAUUACAUGAUGCAUCUUCAAAUUUUUGCCUUCAUUUGACUGCUCUUGUGGAGGCGGAGUGUGAUAAACUAAAUAGAGGAGCCUGGUUAAUAACUGGUAGACAUUUUUUUUUGGGUUAGAUGGAGAUGUGUGUUCUCCUGCCAUGUUGUACGUUGAAAUAACACUUGAGAAGCAACUCAUUUUCAAGCUCUUACAAAUUUUGCAAAAUUUGUCCAAAAUCAUUCCUCCAUUAAGGUAGACCAUUCUGAUUAGUUUCUGCUAAACCCUUCAGUUUUAAAGAUUGCAAAAACCAAUUUAGUUAUAUAUAUAUGUAUAUAGAGAAAGACAAAAAGAAGCACAUCAGAAAUAGGGUGUUGCAGUAUCCUAUUUCAAACUCACACAUAAAAGAGCUAAAAAGUUCCAACCAUAGUUAAACCAUGCACCAAACUCUUCUAUCUACUUUCUUCUACAAAGGACAAUAACAGCAUUGGCAACAAAUAGAAGUAGUUCCUCUCAAAAACAAAUAGAAGUUGUCCCCUAAGUCCUAUCUCCUAAGUAACAAAUUUUAAAAAAUUUGUAAGUGAACUUGAAAAUGAGUCCCAUCCCAAGUGUUAUUUUAAUGUACAGCAUGCAGAAAAACAUUCGUCUCCAUCUAACCCAAAAAAAAACACACCUACCAGUUAUUAAACAAGCUACUCUCUUUAGGUUAUCACAGGCCGCUUCCACAAGAGUAAUCACAUGAAGGCAAAAAUUUGAAGGUGCAUCAUGUAAUGCACAUUAAGCUGCCUAUAGCAUGCUUGUCCCCCCUCCCCCAACAUGCAUUUUACUUGUGCUAGACCAAAUUGUCAUUGAGCUUGGGAGAUCUUGGGCUUGAAAAUCUCACCCGACCUAAAUGUAGGCCAAGCUCAAACCAACAAUCCAUGAGCUCGAGGCUAAAUUAAACUCAAAUAUAUAUAGGUAUGCAUUCUAUUGUGCAAGUUCUUUUGUAUCUACAUAAUAACCAUAGGAUUAUAGCAUGAAAAAUGAGAAAUAUUGGUCAUUCUUCUUCCCAACAUGUUGUACCCAUAUUGUCAUUUAAAAAAAAACAAUCCAAUAAUCAAAUGGGCAAUGGUAAGAUUGUAAAGUUUUAAACCAUUUUGAACUAGACUGAGCUAUGGCCAAGCCAUCUAGUGAUAGACAAGCUUAAGACUACUUCUGGCCCAUACCAAUCAACCAAAUAUGCAACCACGGUUCAAGCUCCAACUUAUAUAUGUUCAAAGGCACUACUAUGCCAAAGUUUAAUGAAUGUGAGCAAGUGGGAGUAACCAUAUACCGUAUACCGUAUACCGUAUACCGUAAUACCAUAAACCCUAUACCGUAUACCGUAUACCCUAAAUCCUAAAAGCCCUAAACACCCUAGAUACCCCCUAAAACCCUAUAAACCCUAAAUCCUAAAGCCUAAACCCUAAAACCCUAAAACAUUAAACCCUAAAAAUCCUAAACCCUAAAUCCUAAAAACCCUAAGCCCUAUAUCCCUAUUUAGGACACCACAAGCAAGAAACUAUAUAUUGAUAACUAGCCAUAAAAAAGCAUAUAUCUAGAAGACUAGAACAUCUUGUAGAUUCCAAAUUAAGAGAUGAUUAGCUAUUUCCAAUAAUCUUCGAGGAACAAUGAAGAGAUUUCACAGCAACAUUUCUUCUUCGUCUAUGUUAUUCACUUUCAUAGAUUCAAAAGUCUGCUAGAAAAGUUGAUAACCUCUAAAUUAACUUCCUACUUUAGAAAACCUCUCUAGAUUCCAAAAUUAACCCAUUAUCAUUCUGAGAGCCGCAUAUCUCUCUGUUCUAAUGCCCACACUAGCAAACUGAAACUCUUUCUCCUUGGGCACACAGCCGUACACUGAUAAGCUACAGGAGCUAAUAGUAUUUUUCAGUGAUUCAUUAACAGCUAGGUGGCUGAUAGGAUUGUGUUCAUAGAAAGUAGGAUACAAUAAUAUGAUUUCCUACAGCAAUGAAUUUCAUGUUCCUGAAAUAGCCAACUAUUCUGAUUCAUGAUAGGGAGGGGGGGAAAAAGAAAAUAGCAAUAUAUGCUGAGUAACAUCCCUUUCUGUGCCCAUUCCUGUGAACUGUGGCUUUACCUCAAAAAUGCAGCCAGUUGAGCCAACUUUGUUGGACGACUGUAAGAACAAAGAGGCUAAGUAGGUUGCAACCUAACUUCCUAAGAUAAGACGUUGGAUAGGUCUCGUGGAUAAGAAAGGCAAGGAAAUGUAGUUUUCACCAAGCCGGAAUAUAUUAGUGAUUAUAUUAAAGCUAUCAUGCAUUAAUAAUCUAGAGGGGGAAUAUUUUAUGAUAAAUGAAUCGAAUUUAGAAAAAUAUAAGAAGGAAAAUUUAGAUAGAUUAGUUUGAAAAAAUGAAUAGUGCAGACUGGCUAAUGGAACAGAAAUAGAUUGUCAAUUGUUUUUGUCCUAUCAAUUCACAAUUCAACAUAUGAUAAUUGAACUAUGUAACUGGAUAUAUUAGCUAUCUUAACAGAAACUGCCUAUCCUUAAACCUCCCCUUGUAAAAGAAUGCAAUUGUUAAAAGCAUAGCUUCACCAAUAUCUUCUCCGUAUUAAAUGUUUAUAAGAAUUGAGUGAUGAUUUUGAUCCCAUUCUCUAAGUUAUGAACACAGGAAAUUGCACUUAUAAUAAAUGUAAAUAUUUUAUUUAAAAAAAUGGUUGAGUGGAUAUUCAUAUCUUAAGGUGAUAGAUCGCUCAAGAGAAGAAAGGUUGUCAUCCUUAUAUUAGACCUUUGAUUUAGAAAGGUUGUAUCAAGGAUCUUGAGGUGCAUAUAGUAAAUUCUUUUUAACCUAGUUUGCUACCAGUGUGCCUUCAUUAGGUUGAUCUCUUGACUCCCAAUUGAUCAUCUUGGUUUUGUAGUUAGACCCCCUUACAUAAAGUUGCCCUGGCCAGGAAUCCAACAAAUAGUGUCAACAUCUAAUUGAUAUUGGGUCAUAACAGCCCGCUAACACUUCAGAGCUUUCUCAGCUUAGCGUUUUGCUCCAUUGCUAAAACAUCUUGGCAGGGGCAAUGCUUGGAUGUCUAAAAAUUGACUAAAAACAUAUAACAAGAAAAGUAAGAAAACAAUAAUAAAGAUGGCUGAUUGAGAAAAGCUAAUAAAUGGGAUACCACCUCUAUAUUAUAAUGUGAACUUCUAAGGCAAGUCCACCUUGGUUUAUCUAUUGAAUUCAAACAUAUCCCCAUAUUUGGUAGGUAGGCUCCUCUUUGUUCACAUUUCUCUUGCUCUCUUUCUUUAGGAAGGGAAGAGAGAGAGAGAAACAGCAAAACAAAAGGCGAUAAUACAUUUAUUAAUUUAUAUGAAAAUUAGAAAAAAUUGAAUUGGACUGGAUCAUAUCAUUUCAUCCCAUGUGAAUCAAGCAUGUUGACUGCUCGUCUUGCUAAAGAGAACUUAUAGAACCAGCACUCAAUGAGUGACGAUUUUGGUGGCUUAACAUGGAUAAUAUCUCAGUUAUUGUCAAUGACAAACAUAUUCAGCUCUCUUUCACCAAUUGUGAACUUCAUAUUGUUAUUGAUUUUGUUAUAAACUUUACAGAACCAUUGUUGUGUUUAUGUUACUAUUGAGCAAGGUCUGCUGAACCAACCCGAACCGGCCGAUUCAACGUACACUGUACUAGUACCAGCCCCAACCGGUACGGUUCGGCUGUGAAAAACGAUUUGUGCCCUAUAGGGGCUGGAAACGGCCAAUUUUCGUUGUGUAUCGGUGCAAAUCGGGCCGGUUUCCUAUGUACGUCCAAUUCUCGCGCGCGGUUCCCCGCACUGAAAACCGCGCCCACGCGAGAGCACGCCAGCAUGGGGCGUGAGCGGGGAAUCGCACUCCCGCGUGGGCGCAAGCGAGGAAUCGCGCGCCAGCACGCGAUUCCUCGCGCAAGGAACCGGCCAUGGCGCGCAGUUCCCCAUGCCGGGCAGCCUGCGUGGGGCAUUUAAUGCCACUCUGUAGCAUUUAACGCGUCCACGCGCGUUGUUUUUUUUUUCGAGUCCGCAGAUUUCGCUAUUGGCUAGUUCGGUACUGGUUCCAGCCCACCGGUACGGCGGACCUUGCUAUGGAGUAUAUAAAAAUAACUAGUUUUAUGACAGAGAGCAUGCAACAAAGUCUGAAUAUUUACAUCAAAAGCAAAAACUCUAUCCUCAACACUUUUAGAAUUACAAUACCAUGUCUCUCACAAAGAAUUUUCCUCAAAUGCUUGUUUCAUUUUUUCAAAAUGUGUGUGCACACAUUUAUUUUAGACAUAUGAUGUAUACAAGGCAUACUUAUAGCAUGUUGGAAAAGAAAAAUCCAAAAUAUAAUAGCAAAGAAAUGGAGGGGAUAGAUGAAGAACUCAAGAUAUAGUACAAGUUGAAACAAACAAGGGGCAUGAAGAGACACUUGCCUAUUAGGUAUUUCUCCUGGAAGCUCCAUAAAAUGCACUGCACGAUCCGAGUAACUGGCAAAAACACUCUGCAUAAAGCUCCCAAUAUAAGGAAUAUUUUUUUACCAUGUAGAAACAGAUUUCAAAUGCAGCUUUUUGCUAAAUUUGUAAAAUUAGCACCAAACCAGGAGAAACUUUUGCAUCUACUUAUCAGGAUUCUAAGCAUUUAAUUCAUGCAUAAGGAGUUAAUUGAGGAACAAUUCUUACAUUAUUUGAAUAUCAAUAAUAACCUAAUGCUGAAUAACACUUUAAUUAAGAGGGUUUUUUGUAUUACUUUGUAAUCUUUUAAUUAAAAAAAUUACUUAUUAAUCACAAGAGAUAACUGAUAAAUUUGCUUGACUUUUCUCUUUCAUUUAUUUCCAAACUUUAAAGUCAUAAACACUUGAGAAAUUUGAGUAGGGUAGUUGUAGGUGCAACUAACUGAAUAUCCCUAGAGCUAUAAAAAAAUAGAUUUUGGUAAAUCAUUAAUUUCAUAACUACCUAAGUUACAGAGUUAGCAUGAUUGUUAUUACAACUUUCAGAACCCUUCUGAAGUUAAACAUAAGGUCAGAUGGUUGGGUUACCUCCUCAAGAGUGGUUUAUCGGAACUUUGUACAGUGAGCCAUGUGAAUGUUUCAAUCUGAAAUUUAGACUUUGUUUGGCUUACAAGUUUUGUUUAGAAUCAAGAAAUUACAUUAUCAUGAACCUGCAUCGCAAAUCAAAAUGGAUCGAAAAGGUUUAACGUUAUAAUAGUCUCCAUCAAGAAGUAUUUGAGAGCCAAUGGCGGAUGAGGUAAUUGGACGACCUUCAGACGAUCUCCAGGACAAGAUCUAUCCUACAAAAGCAUCCAAAUGUUCAAUACAACUUAAAUUAAUUUCAGAUUUAUAACUAGAUAUUUUAAGUCAUGAAGUUUUAACUUCAUUUUUUUGUUAACAUUUAGUCCUAGGCAGGCAAAUAUUUUAUUAUAGGGUAGCUACUACUAUUUCCUCACCUAGGUAUCUUUAUUAACUCUUCUAGAAGGUUAGAUGAUUUAAAACCUUAAAUUUCAAGUAUGUAAAUAGUCAAUAGAGCAUAUUUUAAGUAUAUGCUGGAUGAUGGAAUUAAAUACCAGUGGAACAAGAAGGUAACCAUGGUCACCAUAUUGGGAAACCCCCCUCCCACCUCUGGGCUAAGCUGGUGAAGGCAAGGACCACACUGAGAGAAAGAGAGAGAGAGGCAGAGAGAGAUGACUUCUAGGGAGCAGAGGCAGCAACUAACGGAGAGGGAGGACUCCCUCUCCACUUCACAUGCCUGAAAUUAGCGUCGAAUUUUGUAUAAGCGAGACAUGUGGUUUAUUGGGCCCAAAUAACCAUUUCACCCCUACAAUCCACCUUAAAACCAGUUGAAAGGUGAAUUGGGAUGCACCAUAUCCCGAGCAUCAAGACACAAGACAAUACACAGGGCGUACCAUUCUUCAGGAAAACAGGUACACCCCCAUACUGUGAUUUUUAAUCUUGAGCUGGACUACCUAUAAAAAGGGUAGAGUUGAUUUAAAAGUGUAGCUUUCCACACUAGUUUCCAUAAAAAAAUGUUAUUUUUAUAUACUUCGAUUAGCUGUUUUUCCCUGGGAAAGAAUUUUAAGGCGUCUUGAUUAAGAGGUGGUUAAUUGUAGAAGGCCAUUGAGCAGCAGAAUAUAUCAUGCGCUAGUUUCUUGAUUAUUUUUCUUCCUCUCUAUCACCUUUUUCCAUCUUAUCACUCUUUGGGCUUAAGGAAUCACACCAGUCAUAUAUAUGAUUGCCUUAGGAGUAGGAUUUGUUUCCUCCCCCACUUUCUUGAUUCAUCAUUUCAUCUGCACAUCUGCAUAUACUACAGAUCUGCCAAUCUUGUAGAACAGAUAUUUCAGAUCACUUGUACAUCAGAACUUUUUGCAAUUUGUGUUACAAAAGAUUCUAGUACCAGUUAAGCCAUCUCGAGUCAAUGUUUCAUUAAGUGAUUGUGGCAAGUAAAUCAUGAACUGUAGCAUUCUAGAUAAAUUAAGGCAGUGCAACUUGACUGUUUCCUUUCUAUAAAAUGUGCAGGCCCAUGGAUCUUUCAAGUUUCUAAUACCAUUGGUAUCUUUAAGAAAACAUUUCUACACACCACUUCAGAGCAAAAAAGAUAGCUUUCUAGAACCAUGAAAUGCCUCUUAAGCUGUGGUUAUCUAAAAUGCAGCCAACUUACCACUAAUGUCUUACUUCAGUAAUAAUUAUGGGCUCCCACCAAUAAUCAAUUUUCUCAGAACAUUUUGUUUACCACUUCAGAACAAAUCCCUCAUUCCCUUUGCCUACUUACAGUGGCUCGGCUUGCCUUGACUAACCAGCUGCAACGAAUGACCACCUAAAUAAUAGAAGCUGCUGAGUACUCAAAUCAUCCAAAUUGUGCAAGCAAACCCAUAAAUAGGCAAGCACAUAUAAGGAAGAAAAAUAUGGCCAAAUAACAAGAACUCUGCUAGCAAAUAUGAAGCCCAGGUUCCAAAUCCGAAGUUGCUUAUAUGACUGUGAUUGAUAUCGGAUAAUAAUUAAAAGAGAGGAAAUUAUGAGAAAAGAUGAGAAUAGUCAAGCUCAUAUAUGGAACCUUCUGUUUGUUCAUAUAUUAGAUUCUCCUAUUUCACAAGCGGCUCGGUUGCAUUAGUCCACACCUUUUAGAACCUUGGGACAUUCACAUGUAGUCCAAACUGACUAUUCUGGGUGCCAAAACUAACAAUACCUACAAUGGCACAGAAUUCUUUUAAAUUGUUCUAGAAAAAUUGUGAUUCAAAUCAAAACAAAAUGUCCAAGAAUCUUGUGCAUUCUUAUACUGUUUUGCUACAAUUAAACCUCUAGAUGGCCAAAGCAUAUCUAAGAAAAAUUAAGCAUACUAAAUGCAUGAAAUAUAGCUCUGCCUCAAAGAUUGCCUUGAUAUGAAGGUUCCAUAUUGAUCUACAUUUAACAUUCAUAAUAUUUAUGCAAAAAAUAUUUAAUGUUCAUAAGAUUUUAAAUCUAGCCACAAGAAAUGUACACCAUAAACAAUAGUUGCAAAAGAAAAAAAAUACAUUGCUUACCUCCAAAGAACCAAUGCCAGUGAAGGAGUAUAAUCGAGUCGGCGUAACAGCCAUCACAUAAUACCUCGUAGCAUUACCUACUAUAGCUGUUUCCAUCUGCACAAGAAGAACAGAGUAAGCAUGGCAUGACUGACUUAAACCCAUCAGAACUUGUGGGCGAUGAGAUGAGAAUCGAUAAAAAUUUUAAAGAACCUGCAAGCCCAUGAUGGCCUCUGGGAGCUCGGUCAGCUCAAACAGCAACUUCACAUACUUCUCCUUCUUGUCCGCCUCAUCAACUGCCAUCUCGUAAAUCUGCCCGUUCUCCGUUCCCAGAAUCACUUCCUUCGUUGAAGCUGAAUUCAUAAUCAUCAAUCAAGACACCCUGAUUCAGACCAAAAAGAAGAGAUUCUUGAUCUUGAAAGCCCAUAAGGAACCGACAUAGGAGUCACCUUCAGUGAUCUGCUGCCGAUUCCAGGCCACGGCAUUCACAACGAGGCCCUUCAGCCGGCUCAAAACAAUCCGGGUCAAAACCCUAGAUCGCGCCCACUUCGCGUGCGUGUAGUACGUCUCGGCGCCGCCAGGGUGGAGAAUGGCGGCGAGGCAGUGGCUCCCGCCGGGGUCCACGAAGACCCGGUGCACCGGGUGGUCGCCGGCCCGGCCGCCGGAGAAGUCGAGAUCUGCGAUCAAAUGGAGAGAAAGAGGAGGAUGAGAGACACCUAAGGAGGGGGUCCGAGGAGGGAAAGGAAGGGGGAUUCGACGAACCAACGGAGUCUCCGACGCCGAAGUCGUUGCGGAUGAUCCAGCCUUUGCUGGUGCCGAGGAGGGUGACGUCGUUGCCUGCGGCCAUGGAGGUGAUGACGCCGUGGCCCUUGGAGGCGUCCCACUGGAACGGUUCGACGGCGAAGAGGUGGCCGCCGGCGGCGGCGUCCAUGGCGACGGGAUCGGAUGCGAGGUGCCUGCGAAACCCCAGGGGAAGAAGCGCGGGUUUGGAGAGGACGGAGGGCGGGCGAGGGAGGUUGACGGUUACGGAAGGGGACCGGCGGGCGUUCUUGAGCAAUCUUGGAGCCGUAAGUCCGACGCUGAGGAACAAAACAUUUGGGCGAGGCCGAAAUGUUUAAAAUUCCGACCCCACAGAUUCAGGGGGAGUUCCGGAGGAGUUCGGAUUUUUAUCAUCACCGUUCGUUUCUCUGAAUUACUCUCUAUCGCUCAUGCAAGUGUGAUACACAUGAUCUUGGAGAGGGUUAAAAAUAUUUAAAAAAUGUGUAUAAUGGAUCAAUUGAAAAAAUAAAAUAUUGAAUUAAUAUGAUAACGAAUUUUAAUUAUUAAUUUUUUUUAUUUAUUAUAAUUUAUUAUAUUGCUCUAUUACAAAAUAGCAGAAAAAAAUACUUUGUAUUAAAACAGAAAAAAAUAUGUGAUUAUCCCCAUUAAACUAUUUAUUUAAUUAUAUUAAAGAUAUUUAGACUUUACUCAAAAUGGCUAGUAAAAAGAUAUUAUUUGAGUUCUUCAUUCUAUAUGAGUAUCUAAAAUUUAGUUAACAAAUAAUCAAUAUGGGGCUAAACAUAUGGCCGCAUGGGUUCUCCAAUGUCUGCUUGGACCGAUGGAAAUCAUUGUUGGCUCAUCAAAAGUUGCGGAUUUUAAAAAGAGUUUAACAAAGAAAAUUGGGUCAUCAUCAGCUCGGAAAGAAGAUUGAUGAAUCUCUAAUAAGUGCAAGGUUCUACCAGAGAGGAGUUCAGCCUUGGGCCAUUGGAAAUCCAUGAGAACAAUUGGCCUCGGCCUCUCAAAUUAGUGUCGAGCCACAACAAAUCUUUCGGAAGCUUGAAGGCAUUCAAAAAGAGGAGGUAAGGAGUUUGAAUCCCAAAUCUCGACCAUCAAUUGCUGCUAAAGCCUUAGCGCCAAGAAAGGGAGCUAUGGCAGCCAUUAAAACAAAAAAAAGCUGCAGAGUCUCUAGCGAAUGCUAGGCUCUAGAGCAGCAUCGGCAGAACCGGUACCAAUACUGUACCUGUUGUCUGACGGGACGAGUUGGCACCGGUCUGCACCAAGCCAUACUGGGCCAUACCGAUACAGUAGAAGAGACGGAAGAGAGGGAGAACGAGAGAGCAAAAGAGAGGGAAAGCAGAGAGAGAAGGGGGGAGGCUUGCGGCGGGGUAGCAACGGAGGGCGCAGCCGGACCCCUGUUUUGAAAGAAACAGGGGACUGCUUCCUACCCCGGCAACAGCCCUCUGUCGGCCUCUCCCCCUCUCUUCCUCCUCCGCUCGCUCUCUCUUUUCCUCUUUUUUCUUCUCCUUUUCUGACUUCGGCAACAAUUUUUGUUUCCAUUGCCGGAAGAGCUUGGAACUGCUGGAGCCGCUCACUUAUCAAUUACAUGUAUCUUUUUAACGAUGACUAGGUUACUUUUCCUCCAUAACAAGAACAAGAACAUUCUAAGAUGGUAUUGUAAGAGCAAGAUGCAUGGUUGAGAGACCUNACAUUUAGAGUACAUUUCUACGCUGUCUAUCUGGAGAUUAAUAGCAUAUUCAUGCAUGAAACAUGAUGUUUCUGUUGGCCUUAGGAUCAACAAUUGAGGCCUAGUGUUGCAGACUUUAUACCCACUCUAAUUGCACCUAAUGUUGCAAACUGUAUACCAAGAAUGGAGUGUCCACAGAAUAUUGAUGCAAGAUGGAUGGGGCGGAUGUAGGAAAAGUCGAGCACCUUAUCUUUUUAAUUUAAUUUCAAGACAUGCAUCAUGAUAACUUCUCAAGAUAUUAUCAACACGCAUCACAAUAGGGCAUCCCAAAAUAUUACUGAUACCCAUCUUUUAGCCACCUUAAAUGACCAAGAGUCAUGCAAAUAUCAAGCAGGUCUUCUACUGAAGCAAAUUUCCCAUGUUCUAGAUCUGAUCGCACUAUUCCAACAUACCUGAAUUCAUGAUGACAUGGUGUUCGUAUUAUAAAUACUUCAAUUUUCAAUUUUUCCAGAAAAAUGAAACUACUUGCAUCACAUUAUAAUGGCUAACAGUCAAUUAUGUUCUGACUUCUGAAGCAUAUGCAACAGUAUGCUAAUAUAUUUUCCUGUCUGGCUUCUGAAAUUGGAUGACCAAGCCACUGGUCCUAAUAAAAGUAUCCAUAAUACACAAAAAGGGAAUAUGUCAACAAUGUACAGCAAGAGAUUGCGCACGAAAACUUAUCAAGAAUGGGUAGUCUCAGAGUAAAUAAUGUAACAGGAAAAAUGAAAGAGGAUACAAUCCUCAAACAACACUUCGUUUUUUAUUCUGACAUACAACAAGAAUAGCUAUACUCAAAAUUGCCAACAAGAGCUUGCUUGUGGUCUCAAGAAAUUGAAAAGCAAUUUAGAUGAAUUCAGGAUCUGAUUUUUGUGUAGUUUGCGGAAUCUUUAGCCAAAGCUUUCUUUACAAGUUUUGGCCUUUCUUGCCAAAUUAUAUGCAACUCGAGUCCCUCCCGAAAAUGAAUCGCCUCAUCCAAUCAGAAAUUACCAAUGCCCUUGUGCGCCAACUGACUUGCUUGCUGGAUUUGAAAAGAAGCAGCAAGAAUAAGGACCAGAUUAUAAUUAAAAACACAGUUUAGGCCAUAAUCAAAAUCUCAAGGAAAAUGAGUAGUAAAAUCAAUACAUUAAAGUUUUCAAGUAUCACAGACAUAUUAAUUAAAAGAAAACAAAGCAUGUACCUUGCAUACACAGAAUACCAGAGCCACUGGCUACUGUGGCCUAUAGAGAUCCAAUCUCCUGGCAGUUGUGCAGCCGUUUGUUCUCCACCCAAUGGGGCAAAUUGCCCAAAAUGCCUAUACCUUGGAUUACAAACAGAUCAUAAGAAUGUAUCACACAGAAAAGGAAAGAUAUAGGUAGUUUUGUAGCAUGACAAAGGAGAAAAUGCAGCAGUUUUACAUUAAAAGAAAAACAACAGCAUAUGCCUUUCACAGACUCCUACAUAUACAUGCAUAGUAUGACAGGCUUCUGUCUCUCUCUCUCUCUCUCUUUAUUUUUCUCUCUGACUCCAAUAAAACUAAAUAAAGCACUUGGAAACUUGAGAAGGAAGUCUUCAAGAUUUCCUUGUUUCUUUUCCAGUUUCUAAAUAAAAUCCCAAAUGUGGUAGAAAUACUUACAGCUUGCAAGAUUCCUUGAACUCCUAGGAUUUUUCACAUCUAUAUUUUACAUUGUGUUACAACUCCAUUAGAUUUAAAAUGUAAAUGCUAGAGAACAAUGAGGGAACAUAGAACAAAGUCGUUUCUUUUACAAUUUUUUUUAUAGAUGCUAUUAGAUCAUAGUUUAUUUUUUUUCUGAGCAUUUGGAUAACAGGUAACUACAAUUUUAUUUAUGUUGCUUAGGGCAGGUUUCUUGGAUAGGCAGAACAAGGAACUUAAGUGGCUCCUGUCACGUUGAUGAGGAGGUAGAACAUCCCACUGUUUGUUAUAGCCUCAACCACAAAAGCGAAGAGAGUGUCACAUGUUGCUAGCAAUCUGGGGCAUCGAUGGAGGUCCAUCUGACUCUCAUGAUGAAUACCCCAAUGUAUUUUUCGGUGUCACCCAGUGAGAGAAGUUAAUCUUUAUAUAAGGAUGCAAGACAAGAGUCCAACAGGAGAGAUAAGGAUAAAAAUAGAUGAGCAUUAACAUAACACACUCGGCAAGGGCAAGGAAUGGAUAUCAGUAAGCACACCCAAAAAAGAUGAGGUUAGGAUCAUUAUCCCCAGACAGGACAAUCAUAAAAGCACAGUUGAUCAAUCCAUUAGUUCUUUGAUGUUGGCUACUAAACCAGUAAACAACCUUGUAAACAUCCACAGGGAACAGGGCGUAAGCCACCUAUUGAGGCCAGACACCUAGGAAAAAUGGCCCUUCAUUCUUAAAUGCAAUUACUUAGGCUCUAAUCCUAUUUGAUAUACGUUAUCCAUGAGAAUUGUUCAGUAAUUAGCAAUUUUGUGAACUAAAACCUAAAAUUUGCAAUGUUUAUUAUUAACUUUCUGGCUUAACCCAUCUGCGACAAAUCCACCGUUCUGGUUGGUUAGUCCAGCAGCAAUUAGUCUGGGAGCCAGUGUCAGCCAUUCUGCAACUUCUCAAUUGCGCCGGUAGAUAUCAAGAAACCUAUAAUUUGGCUAGCUACUAACUAGAUUUAGCCUGAAAACUCGUAAAUCACAAACUGGGGUAUCUGAGGACAGGAGACAACUAUCACAUAUAGUGGCCUGACAGCCUAUUAUACAGCAGCAACCUACAGCUAUAUUUAGUUCAGUAAAACAAUCACAAUGAUAGUUUAGCAAAGUCCACAUGCUGACCAUAUGCAGGUUGGCCAUCAUUCAAACAUGAGCCAAAGCUCUAUGCAAUCAAAGUAGUACACAUUAAAGAAGAAAAAAGUGCAGGAUUUUGUUAUUUCCAAACAUCUUGCAUAAUAUGUUUUUCCAUUAUUCAAUCGGAGAAUUGGUAGUUGAGGUCCACUGUGAUGACACAAGGAUGUUUUGAGAAGAAAGAAAAAGAAAGAAAUUGCUUCUGCAGAAGUUCACAUGAUAUGAACCAGAUGGUAAGCCCUAAUUAUUAUUGUCUUUUGAAAUUACGAGGUGAAGAACUUAGAUUGCAAGCCUUAUUCCACAGAGAUGGGCAAGUCAUAUUAGCAACAUUAAAGUUCAGGAACUCCCAAUGACUUGAGAGGAUUGAGCAAUAGAAUAUCCAACCAAAGAACCUAAAGACCAGAUGGGAGGAACAAAUGCCUUUUUGAUCAUGUGCUUUAACAUCAUGAUACUAGAAAAGUAGAAAGUAACCUUUAAAAAAUCCAUUUGACUUGGUAAGAGUUUACAGAAAAAGGUAAGUAGGCAAGGCUUGACAUAGGGAAUCACAUUCAUAUCUGAAGUAUAUAAACAAGGGAUCAAAACGAAAAAGUACCAUUACUGAAAUCAAAAGGUAAAGGAAAAAAAAAGAAAAUGGCAAGCUUCAAUUUGUACUAAUUAAACUAAAAAUAAGUAGUUAAUAAUAUUCAUACUUGGGCACAAAACAGAAGGAAAAGAUGCAAGCUGAUAGAAAAUCCCAUGAUCGAAACUAGUAUAGCCAACUGCAGAAAGUACAAAAGACCAAAAGCAAGUAUAACGGAGAGAGGGUAUAUUUAGUAUUGGGAUAGUGCUAAUUUUGGGGGGAAAAGGGCUCAAAAUUACCAAGUUGCAAGCCAUGAGGAAGGAUUUGAGGAAGCUAAGAUAACCAAGAUGGUUAAUGUGUCCUCAGUAUCUAGGUCUGGGAUAAAACAUUUAAAAAUCAAGUUGAGACAAAGAGGAAGGAAGAGGACUUUCUCAAUUUAAUUUCUAAAUCAAUGGAUGAAUGCAAUUCAUUCUUCAAUGAAUACUAAAUUUGGUUUUGUUUCCAACAGAACCCCCACCCCUCCACCAAAAAAGGAAUCCAGCUGUCAUUAUGAGCAUUCUUUGUAAGCCUCUCGAAAAUGUCAAUCUUGAGGGGCAUGGUAGAAAUGUCAGCUUUGCCUUUCCUCCGCCUCAUGGAAUUUACAACACUUCUAUAUACGACAAUCUCCAUUCCAUUUUCGUUGACUUGAAGGGAUUCUCAAAAGAUAUUUGUUUGCUCGAACAAUGAUUUCACUUAAAAUGCACUUUAUUCUUCUUCAUAUAUAUGCUUAAUGUCUUAGUGCCUGCUUCUCUUGUUCAGAGGGGAAAAAAGAAGUUUCCAUGCGUACCUAAUAUUUAUCCUCAAAGAAUUUGAGUUUUCAAAUUGUCAAUCAUUUUAAAUAUUAAUCUUAGAAAUCUAAAUCAUAAUUUCAAAAAUUGUUGCCUUUUCAAUUUGCUUAUCAUAUUUGCCCUUAUAACUUUCACUAAAAUUUCUAAUCUUGAUUUACCAUCCUUUGCCUCUGCGAUUUUUUCACCUUGUGCAUUUUUUAUUUCUUCUAACUUUUCAAUUUUCUCCUAUAAUUAAAUAACCCUUCCCUUCAUUUUCCUGCUUCCCAUCCCUUUCAUCAAACUCCGCAUCCUUUCAGUCUGCAAUUCCGCAUCCUUUCAUCAAACUCUGCAUUCAAAGUCAUCUCCUUCAAUUUCACCAUCUUUGAUAUUUUCUUCCAAGAAUUCAUCAGCAUCCAAGAUUUCCAACUGAAAAUUUUACAGUGAUGUUUCACUCUCGUGACAAGAAAAGACUAACUAAAUCUUUUCCUGCAAUUGGUUUGGUGAUUCACAAAGUUAUUUAGUGUUUUCUCUUCCUUUCUUCCUUGAAUUUUCCUUGGCAUGCAACUUUCUAGCUUCCAUGCAACAUCCCAUAAUUUACAAUCUAGAAUAUGCGAGUUUGAUCGCUCCAAUGUAAAUCAUUCGAACCAAUUUAAACACUAGUGUCACAUGGCUUGCUAGCCAAUGGCUAGCAUGACAUGUAACAUGAUAUGUAGGCAUUGACCUGUUUUGUGCUGAGAAAAAAAAGGAUCAAGAGAAAGGAUGGACACCUUUUUAAUUAAAUAUAUUAAAUGAAGUUUCACUAGGUGCCAUGUUGACCCCUGCCAGGUGCUAGUACUUGCCUAGCAAAAGCUAGCACUUGAAAGCAAGGUUAGAAUAUCCUGAUUUUCUUAACAGAAUUACUAUUUCUCCAUUCUCUUUUCAAAUUGGCUCAUAAUUGACAAUCAUUGUUUUCUUUAUCUAUUUUAUUCACCCCAAAACUUGGCAAUGGUGUUGCCUUUGCUUCUCCAAGUCAAUUUCACUUUCUCCUUUGCCGGAAACCCGGUACUUAAAGCCUUCAUAAUCUUUGAACAGAUCUCUUUAUUACUGUCAAUCUUGUAAGAUCAUCACAACUCUGUUACCGCCUCUAUAUUAUCAACAACCUCGAUGGGUCGUGGUAGCUCUGAUACCAAUUCGUUAGAGAGAGAGAAGGAGAGAGGGGGAGAAAGAGAGAGAGAGAAAUGGAGUUUAAGUUAAAGGUAAGGGGAGAGGAUGAUUGGAGAAUAAAGUAUUAUAGUAUAUCUUCAUUUUACUCCUUGGUGUAAAAUGGUUCUCUAUUAGGGUCUUCAUGGUUACAUAGUUACCAUUCAUAAACUUUAUACCUUUCAUCAAUUCAUUAGAACUUCCAAAAAAACAAGUGAUGAAUACUUACACCAAUAGAAGCACCAAAUACAUGCUUUCUCUUCCAUUUAUAACUAAAUUAUUGCAGGCAUCUAAUGCAAACCAUCUUGCACCGCCCAAUUAAACUAUUCUUUUGCACACUACUAUAAGUGCCAUCUGGAAGUCAUAAUUUAACCAUUGCCUGGUCCAUUGCGUACAGUCUUUCAUGGUACUAUGAUAAUUAGAGUAGGUGACAUCGAAUGAACAAACUAGAGGUCUAAGAUCCAUCAAAGAAUAAUAAUUAAAUUUUUAUAACCAAAGUGUGACCAUCCAAUGCACGCUUUUAAUAUUUAUAAAGUUGCAAACAGACAUAGGGUCAGUAAGACAAAAACAGGAAAACAAUUGUAUAAGAUCAUACAUCUGCCAUCCAUACUGAUUGAAGUUCAUGAAGCAACCUAAAAAAGAUAAAAAAGAAAAACACAAGAGAGAGAGAGAGAGAACCAUGAACUAGAAUAGAUACCUGAAGGGACGAAAGCGAUGACGGCCUGAUUCUCUCAUGCGCAGUGGACCUUCAGGAUUCUCAUCAGCGUCCUUCAUUUUGUUAAAACAUUGAGCAAGAUAAUUACCUUGUUGUGCAGCAACCUGGUACAUUUUAAUGAAGAGCAUUAAGGAUGAUGUCAGCCAGCAUACAAAAAUUGGAUAAAUUAUAAAACUUUCAUUCCUUAGUUAUGUCAGAUUUAUAUAAAUCAAUUACUCAAACUCUAGAUUAUAAAAGAUUACCUGAGCUGUUGCUGGAAGAUUUUUGACCUGUGAAUCUACAUUUGCAAGAGCUUUUUUGAACUCUUCUAUGUCCAGCUCUACAGAUUCCUUCUGAACAUCACCUCUGGAAUCCUUAAUUAAAUCAACUAUGUCACUCAUUUGCUUGCUUUUCAAGUAGAGUUCCACCUGAGGGUACCUUAUGCAAAUAUCAUCUAAAACAUCUUGGAUUUCUUUUACAGUUAAAGUUCCAGAAUGGUUUUUGUCUGCAACCUUAAAGAUUGAUGAUAUAUCUUCCUGAAAGCACAAAGCCAUGAAGCAUAUUAAUAAACCACACUGGUCAAAUUGCAAUUUUAGUUGACUGCUAAUUGAUACUCUCAUCAUGAUGUCUAGUUAAAUGAAACAUGUGAAACCUGCAUGAAGUCUCAUUGUUAGUUCUCAGAGCAGUUGUACAUGAUCACUUGCUACGAGUACCUGUUUGAUAUUCUCACUAGCUGAGAAUGGAGAGCUACUCAUAGGUUUCAUGAAGUUAUUCUGCAGAUUAAAACUGAACAGGAUAAACUAGUUUAAACCUUAAACUGCGAAAUAGCAGCUUGACAAUUUAAGUUUUAAGCCAUCAGCAAUGGAUGCUCAAGUUGACAAUCAGAAUGGCAAUCAAGACCAAACUUAUCCUUAAUUUACAUUAGCCAUCGCAUAUUGUCAUCCUUUAGCUCUUUCAGUGCCACAAUUUUUUGUCCAUUUAAUGAAUGGGUAAGGAACCUACGAGGCAACUGAUAUUGUAAGGCAGUUUACACUUUACAUUGUAGGUCAAAAUUAAUGUUAUUUGAACAAAUAGGACAAGAUUCUAAAUCGACAAUCUACAUAACUAUGUAUUUAUCUAUGUAAACAUGUAACAUUCCAGGGUACUAAUCCACUUCAUGUACUAUGUCCCUCUAACUAAUAGUCAGCACCUUUAGUGAAACAAGACAUAAGAUCAAUAAGCAAAGUUUCACAUACCAUGACUUUUCGCUGACCUAUGGUGGCACAAUCACCAAGAGCAUAUACACCAUCGCAUUCAGAGACUCUCAGCCACUCAUCAGUUGCUAAUACACGCCUGUUAACCUGUGCAUUUGGGAAAGAAUUAAAUAUAAAUUAAAAGAUCUACAAAUUUACAGAAAUCAUAUUUUAGAAAAUGGUGACCAUAAGCUAGAAUCAAUUAACCUGAUCAAUUUGUUUCAUAAAAUCCAUUAUGACAGGGCGUGUUCCAAUACCAGUAGACCAGACAGCCAUUCCAUAUGGUACAGACAUUUUUCCAGUCGAUGCAUUUGUCAUUGUGAUGUUGUUAUCCGACACCUCCACAACCUUAAAUCCUGUUUUCACUUCGAUGCCUUCUCUUUGGAACUUCUCCACAGCAAAUUUAGUGACCCUUCUGUCAAACCUGCAUGAUACAACCAUAAUGCACAUACAACUUACAGAAGGUAGGACAGGGAAGAAAAGGAGAGUUACAUAGAAGAGGCAAUUUGCAAAUAAAUAACAUGAAGAUGAAAGAUAAUAAAUUUCGAUAAAUCUAUUUUUGGUUGUAUUUGGAGCAAUGUCUGCCAAACCGGUACCGGUAAACGUAUCGGUGGCCUACCGGACCGGUUCGGUACCAGUUUGGGCCAUACCGAACCGGUACCACUGGUUCAGACGGAUUUCGGCUACUGCACGGGUCAAAAAGGCCACGGCUCACGGCGCUAUGGCAAACUGCAGGCGUAUCGGUGAAAAUUGGUCCAGUUCGCACUGGUACAAGGCGGUACCGUGCUUGUACUGAUGGAAACCGGUUCGGUUCAUACUAGUAAGCCCUCCGUACCGCUCGAUUCCGGCCCCCACCACGGUACCGGACCGAUCAAAGACCAGACCAAUCCAGUACGUGCUGAACCGGCCGGUACGGGCCGGUUCUAUAACAACCUAGGACCUCACCCAAAAUGGCUAGCCGGAAGAUAUUGUUUGGGNNNNNNNNNNNNNNNNNNNNNNNNNNNNNNNNNNNNNNNNNNNNNNNNNNNNNNNNNNNNNNNNNNNNNNNNNNNNNNNNNNNNNNNNNNNNNNNNNNNNNNNNNNNNNNNNNNNNNNNNNNNNNNNNNNNNNNNNNNNNNNNNNNNNNNNNNNNNNNNNNNNNNNNNNNNNNNNNNNNNNNNNNNNNNNNNNNNNNNNNNNNNNNNNNNNNNNNNNNNNNNNNNNNNNNNNNNNNNNNNNNNNNNNNNNNNNNNNNNNNNNNNNNNNNNNNNNNNNNNNNNNNNNNNNNNNNNNNNNNNNNNNNNNNNNNNNNNNNNNNNNNNNNNNNNNNNNNNNNNNNNNNNNNNNNNNNNNNNNNNNNNNNNNNNNNNNNNNNNNNNNNNNNNNNNNNNNNNNNNNNNNNNNNNNNNNNNNNNNNNNNNNNNNNNNNNNNNNNNNNNNNNNNNNNNNNNNNNNNNNNNNNNNNNNNNNNNNNNNNNNNNNNNNNNNNNNNNNNNNNNNNNNNNNNNNNNNNNNNNNNNNNNNNNNNNNNNNNNNNNNNNNNNNNNNNNNNNNNNNNNNNNNNNNNNNNNNNNNNNNNNNNNNNNNNNNNNNNNNNNNNNNNNNNNNNNNNNNNNNNNNNNNNNNNNNNNNNNNNNNNNNNNNNNNNNNNNNNNNNNNNNNNNNNNNNNUAAAUAGAGUAUCUUAAGAAAUGAAAAAAUAUUAGCAAAAAGGAAAAACAUAAGCUAACAAGGAGAGAAGAACUUGAAUCUGGAAAAUUCUACUCAAAAGAUUUGCAAUUGGUUUUAGAGCUUCGAUGAAAUUUAAUUGUCAACCAAGCACCAGGUAUUAUCAAAUCAGAAAUUGUAAAUUUUGCUCAUAAAUUGCCAUGCUUGGAAAAGCGUCCAAAGACACCUUUUGUAUGGCACAGAAUUGGAUUUAGAAUCAACUAGAAUAAUAACUGUUGUAUAGCUUGUAUAAUAUGUCUUUACUUGCCACAAGCCUUUGGUAGGUGUCUAGAUGCUAGCUAACAUGAAUGUUGAUAACAUCAGAACCUGAUAAGGUUGAACAUGGUGAAUUAUGUACAAAACCACAAAUAGUGUGAUGAAGGAGUUCUGAUUUCGCACUAUUCAAUUUCAAACUCACAAAUAUAGACAAAUCAGGGAAAUAAAUGAGAACCAAGAAAAAAUCAAAUGCUGCCUUACAUGGUCAAGAUAUGCUCUCCAGCUUCGAUAACUGAUAUCUUCACCAGGUCUCGAACAGUAGGAUAUAACUUACGCAAAUCUUCGGAGACAAAAUCAUGUAACUCUGCAGCAAAUUCAACACCAGUUGGACCACCACCAACAAUAACAAAAUGAAGAAUCCUCUUCCUCUCUUCUUCAUCAAGGUUUGGAAGACUGGCCCUCUCAAAACAGUUCAUCACACUCCUACGAAUUUUCUGAGCGUCCUCUAUUUCCUGCACAUAGCUACUAUUGGUCAGACGAACCUCACAAGAAGCGUGCAAUCAUGCAAUCAACAAAUAUAACAAUCAACUUUUUUAAAAGCAUCAUUUGAAAGAAUAUUGAAAAUGGAUGCUGAAAACUAGCAAGAAUCUGUCAAAAAGUUACGCAACUACUGAAGGGCAUACAUGUGGUGAGAAAGUUUACACGAAACCUCAUGUAUCAGGAUCAUACAGCAAUAAGACUCUGCUGCAUGAAUCUGGUAGUGUGGUGAAAACAGCCAGACUUGUACCUCAAGCAAAUAAGAUUAAAAAUUUGCAUCUGCUGUAAUUAUGAUAAAAAUACCUAACAUGCAUGCUGUCUUGACAAGUAAACUGCACUGACAUUAGGACUUCUAUCACGAUGAAAGUAAAUGUACCUUCAGAAAGUGACAAUGUUCGACCACACCAGGUGUGUUAAAUGUAUUUGCUCUGGCUCCAAUUGAUAUCACCAGAUAGUCAUAAUCGAGAAGAAAUUCACCAUUUCCAUCCAAAUUUGUGCCAAUAUUAGAUCGACAAUGGACUUUUUUGUUUGUUGGAUCAAUUUUGAAACACUCAGCUUCCCAAAAUUUUAUUUCUCCUCCUUUCUGCAAACGCAAUAAUUGGAGAACAGGGUGAGUGCUACUUCACUGACAGGACCAAAUUAUUUAUUGAGCAAUACAUCAAACACA